CAUGGCCGGCCAUAGCAAGAAAAAAGGAAGAAAAGAAGAACAAAAACCCUAGAGUGAAAAUUCAAGAGAAAAUUGGUGGAUUUCAAGUAAUCAAGCAAUCAAAGGUAAAAUUUCUUGAUUUUGACUUGUGAUCUACCUUUCCCAUGUAUUAUUUUGCAUUUUUCAUGGUUGAAUCACAAGAUAUCAUGAAGGAUUCAUGGUGACCCAAUUUAGAGAGAGAAGAUUGGAUGAUCUAUUUAGUUAGAUUUUGAGAUAUUUUAGUGUUUAUAGUUGAUUUAUCAUAUUUGGAAGGAAAACAAGUAAGAAAAAUCACAUAUUCUUCAUGGAUUCUUCAUUGGCCGAAUUUCAUAAAGACAAUAUUGAAGAUGAAUCUGGUGAUGUCUUAUGUUAUUUAGUUAGAAUUUAAUGAAUUGUGGUGGUGGAAACCGAAAAUGGUAAUGUUUAGCAUGAAAAAUUGUAUACCCUUCAAGAACCUCCAUUGGCCGAAUCUUUCCUUGUAGAGUGUUGAUGGUGGAUUUGAUUUUAUUUCAAGUGAAUUGGUUAGGAAAUGAUGAAUUAUGGUGAGAAAAUCAAGUAGGAAAAAUCAUAGUGUUGAUGCACCCACCAUGGCCGAAUUUUCCAAGAGAAAAUGUGAGGAUGAUUUUUGCCAUAUUUCUAGUUAUUUAACUUGGGUUUAAUGGUUUGGAGAAUAGGAAGAAAAAUGGAGUUAAUUGAAGUCAAAUUGGACAUAUUGGCCAAUUAAUCGAGUGAUAGAUCGAAUUAGGCCAAUACAGUUUUAUUUAGGUACACAAUUGAAUUUGUGUAGAACACCGUGUUUAGACGAUAAUCUGAACAAUUUACAUCCCAUUUCAUGCAUUAGUAUAGAGCCUGAAUUGGUUUUAUAACAAUUUAGCACAAAUGUAGUAAAUGGCUUAUUGUACAUUAUGUCUAAGUGGUGAGCAUUCUGGCAAAAGUAAAAAAAUAGUACCCAAGAAUCAAGAAUCGGAGUACUCGAAAUUUGACUCCCGAAAUAGUGAGUAACCUUACUAUUAUCUUAAUUAUCUAAAGUGGUUUUUAUCCGAUUUUGUGAUUUUAUGGAAAAUGAGUUAAAUGGUAAAUCUUUGUGUUUUAUAAUUAAAAUGUGAUUUAAUGAAAUGAUUUUAUAACAUUAUCUUGAAAUGAAAUGAUGGUUUGAAAAUAGGGUAAUUGGAGACUGUUUUCAUGCGUUGUAAAUUCAUAGUUUAAAUCGAAUGACUUAUGACAAUAUUUGCAUGAAUGCCUAAAUUGGUAUUUGUGUUGAAAUAUAUGAACUGUGUAUUUAGCCUUGAGAUGCUGGAUUGUGAUAUAAUUGCCAUGUCAUGCUGUUGAAGUUUAUUGAAUUGGUGGGUUAUAAUUGGUCGCUGCAGUGGACGGGUUCUGUGGACCAGCCUAUUAAAGGGGCACGGUAACCCUAUUAUAUUCAUACCUUAGUAUGAGAGGCGCGGAUGGAUAACUCCUGAGAUUAACACUUUAGAGUUCACUUCACGCAAAACCACCACGUGAGGGUGAACUCAGCCAAUGCCAAGGAACGGCUAUGUUUUCAAAAUUAAAACAUGAUUUAUGCGUACAUAACUUUUUAACAACCUUGGGGGACUCAGUUGGGAUAGCCCUCGGCCAAGGUAUCCCUGAUAACUAAGUAUGAGAAUGAUUUUGGCACGAGCCAAAGUUUUAAGAAAUUCAUAAGCCAUGUUGAUUACUCGAUUUAUAUGAAUUGAUUUUAUUUGGUUGAAAUGAGUUGAAAGGUGAUGAAUUACAGUAUGUUAAACUAUUUUAUCUGUCUCCAUUUACUCAACUUUAGAUAUUUUAGAUGGUAUUUGUUUACUUACUGGGAUUAUAUAAUCUCACCACUCUCAUUUCCAUCCAUUUCAGGCUCAGGAUAGUUGGUAAAUAACUCAUUUCGUUGAGGGUUACAAUUAGACUUGCAUCCUAAAAAACUGUAGGUUUACCGCUUUUGAUACUUUUGAUCGUUGUGGGCCCACGUGUCACUGUAAAUUAAAUUUUAUACUUUGGUUAUCUGUAUUACAAUAUGUAUGAAUUUAUUUAACUUUUACGCUACAAAAAUUAUUUACCGAUAACUCUAUAAAUAUUGUUUUAUAAGAAAAUAGAAUAUUUUAUUGAAUAUUUUUAUUAUAUUCAAAUAGUCAUAAUUUCAUUUUAAAUGAAGGUUUUUGAUGUUUAAACUUAUUUUUGAAUAUGAAUUAUGUGUUUAUACUCGCAUACUACAUUUUUAGCUGGUUUUGAAAUUUUUGAAAAAAAUAACCAAAAUGCCCCUGUGAGAUAGAAAUAAUUUUUUUUAAUAUUAAUUUAAGUUGGAAAUAGCUUAAAAUCUUUUAGAACAUGAUAUUUGGCAACGGUUACUUAUAGGGAAAAUGAGAAACUGAUAUUAAAGCCUUGCGGGGUUCCGAUUGACGUUCCGGGUAAUGAGUGUCGAUCGGGAUACCGCGGCGGUUGUCACUGGCUCGAGGAGAAUACCGGGUCGUGACACAAUAUCAAUCAUUUCCAAUGAAUUUUCAAUUCAUAUGAAAAUGGCAACUCAAAGAGAAAUUCCAUAUCAAAAGAAUAUCAUCAUUUAGCACUUUUAAUUUAUUAUCAACUAUUCAUUCAGCAAACAUUCUUCCAAAUCACUAUCAAGCAAGUAUUUCAAGAGAUAUUCUUCAAAUUAUGUAUGAAACUAUCAAUUCAAGGAGAAUUUUCACAGCAAGAACAUAUCAUUAUCAAUGAAGCAUUACCAAAGCAUUAUGCACUUUGUUGCAAUCAUGUAAGAGAAUAUUAUGAUCAAAUAAGCACAAGCAUGAUUACAAAAAAAUGGCUAUCUUCAUUAAUGAUGAUUCCAAUUUUGUUUUAGGAAAUACAAGCAUGAUUUCAAUUUUCAAAAAUAUAUAGACUAUACCCAUUAAAAAAAAUGCAAGCAUUGAACUUUAAUGUGGUACAUGUCAUUUCUCAAUAAACUUUAUAAUUCAUGAGUGAUACCAAUUGUUAUGGAAUAUUGGAAAGUAAAGCACUCAACUCAUGGAUAUAUUCCAAAUGAACAUCCAAGAAUCAAUGAAUACCAAUUGUUAAGAUUCAAGAUAUCAGCAUUCAAUCAAAGCAAAUUAGGAAUUCAUGCUAACUUAAGCUAUAGGUCAUAUUUCAUUUGACAAAUCAAGUUAUUUAUGGUAACCUAUAAGCUAAAUUUGAAUGCACAAAAAAUAUUUAGAUCAUGUAAGCAUUUAAGCUCAAAGAAGACAUUGUUAAUGUUUAAAUGCAUAUUCAAGAGAUAUUUCAACUAUGUCAAUACAAUGUGUUAUGAUCAAACUUGACUUGAGUUAUGCAAUUAAGUACCAUAAGUAAUUUUAUUACUUAAGUCAAGUUUUAGACUUCAAUCACUAAGGUCAAGUAAGAUUAAAUGUCAUAUAAGCAUGUGAUUUGACCAAAAUAAUAUAUGAGCCAAGAAUACUUUUCAUGAAGUUCAAAGAGUUCAUCCUAAUUAAAUUCAUUAGCUUAGGCAAUAAUUCAAUCUUGAAACAAUCAUUUAAGUACAAACAAGAAGCAUGUUUUAAGAAUUGAUCCUAGACUAACAUUUAGAACAUUUUAAUUUUCAAGAAAUGAUUUGUCCAUAUAAACAUAUUAGAAAUGAUAAAUUCAAGAAAGUAAAUCAUUUAAGAACAAUUUCUCAUAUUUCUAUUUUAUCAUUGUAAAUACGUGAGAAUUUAUAAGAUCAAUAUGAGUGCCAUACUUGGGCAUAGAUAUAUUCAAGCAUUCGUGAAAAUUUUCCUUUUUUCAACAAUUGUUGCAACUUCAGGAACAUGUAUUUGCACCAAAUGAUCAUGAGAAUGUUUAUAAUGCAUGUUUUUAAGAGCCAAGAAUCAAAAUUAAAAUGUAAUCCAUGGAAGAAUUUGGUACAAUGGACUAGGAGUCAAGUAAUAAGGCAUUUCCAGGUAUAAAAAUUGUUGGUUUUGGCUCCAGACCAUCCGGAGAUUGAUCCUUCAUGAAGGGAGGUCUAUCCUUGUACCAUGAAAACUAGAAAAAGUGUAGAAAAAUGCAUUUUGCCAAGGUGCAAAGGUUCCAAAACAUGAAUUUAUUUAAUAACAAGUUGAAUUUUCGAUUCUAUAAUGUUUAUAAUAUCAUUUUGGACAUGAAUAGCCUAAGAUUCUUCAAUGAAAACAUGUGAACUAAAAAUUUAGCUCUUAUUUUUCAAUCUAUGCUCAUUGUGCUCAAACACUAAGUAGUUGAAAAGCUCAUUUAAAAAUUUGUGCCCCUAAUAUGUUCAAGCAAGCUUAAUUUUCAUCGUUAUGCAUGAAUAUGACUUAUGAAAUGUUGAACAAGCAUAUUAGGCAAUGUUUAAGCAUAAUAAGCAUCAAAUUUAACAUUUUCAAUAUUUUUUCAAUAUAUGGACAAAAAUAUCCUUGAGAUCAUUCAAGCUUUAAUCAUGCAUUCAUUUGCAAUAGGAACAAAUUAUAAUAGCAUUUUCAACACAAGGUACACUUGUUCAAGUUUUACAUAAUUGAAAUCUUUGUAACCUCAAGGAUGUCAAGCAUUGCAAAUAGAUUUGUUCCUUUGCUUGAAAAUGCCAUCAAUGUCAAAUUUUCACACUCAAGAUCAUGCUUAAGAAAACCUUUUCAAUCAAUUUCACAAAUCAAGAGAGAAAUACCAAACAAAAUGGAAUUUGUGCAAUUUAUAUACAUUUAUCAAAUCAAUUUUGCUUAACCAAGCUAUAUCCAUCAAAGUUAAUAAAUCAAUUUCAAUUAAAAGAAACAAAAAAGUUUUGCAAGAAAAUCCUUUUACAAAGAUUUAAUUUCUCUUUUCAAAAAUUUGUCUUUGAAACAUACAAGAUUUGAGUUAGACAUGCUUUAUGUAAAUCAUGAGCUUAAUGUUACUCAAUUUUGUCAAUUAUACUCUAAAUGAUUUAUAAAAUGUGUGAUAAGCAUAACGAAUCAUAUUUAUACAUGUCAAGGGUCAUUUUCAAAUAUCCAACAAUUAUAUUUUAAAAAUGCCCUUAUGACCAUUCAAGCUUGCAAGCAAACAUGCACAUCCAAUAAGAACAAGUCAGUAAGUAUUUUCAUUAUGAAACAAACUUGUUUAAUUCAUAAAUCAUUAUAAGCUCAAGAAUGGCAAGCAUUUUUCUCAUGUAAGCUCAUUUUGCUUUAAAAGUACCAAUUCAAGUAGUCAAAGCUUAUCAUGCUCAGAUUUAACCAACUUGAAACACUCAAAAAAGUCUUCAAUGACAAUGCAAGGUUGUUCAAAUGGUUAAAUUACCUUAGAUACAAAGAAAUCAAAAAGUUAACUCUUCAAACUCAAUUUUCUUUGGCUAUGCUACUAGAAUAGGCAAUUAUGCAAAUCAAUCUAUUAAUCACAUUAGCUACUUCACAUGCCAUCAAAAUCAAACAUUUUAUGCUUAAAAAAAUGCUCAAAAUAAUUUUUCCUCAAAGAAAUAAUAUGAAAUCAAUUUCACAAGAUAUGAGGAAAUUUUAUCAAAACAAUUUUUCACAAUCAUGCAAAAUCAAUAUAGAAAAAUGAGCAUUAUGAUAUAUUCAAGAUCAAAUAUAAGUGCAUACUCAAUCUUUAGACUUAUACUUCUUUCAAGAUUAUGCAAUUUAUGACAUGUAUCACAUUAGAUCAAUUUUGCAUAAUCAAGAUUUAUCAAUAAAAUUUAAAGAAUUAUGCACUUAAUAUUCAAGCAAGAAUAGACAAACAAGUGUUUAAUCAAAAAAGGCAAACAACUUAAGAAACCAACUUAAACCAAUCAAUCUCAAGAAUCAAGCAAAAUUAUCAAAUUUAAAAGAUCAAAAAGACUUUUGUUAUAAAAGUCACCCAUUUUUCAUUAUGUAUCUAGAAAGCAUCCAAUCUUCAAUUUGUGCCUUCUUACUCCAGCACGCCUACAAGAGACUUUAUCAUUCGAUUUAUGGUAUCUAAAUUUCUGUAGAUCUUUGAAGGUUAGUCUUAUCAUACAAAGUUCCUUUGGAGCUCAUACUUAUUUAAACCUAUAAAAAUGAAUGAAAAUAAAGCACAAGUUUAAACUUUCCUUUUUCAAUCAUUCAACUUUCUUUUUGUAAGUUUCAACAAUAUAUUUUAAUUUUUCAUUUUCUUUUCCUAGGAUGUCAAAUUUCCUUUGAGAUAUUUCAAAGUCCAUUCUCAACUUUUUAUUUUCCUUUUCCAAAUUAAGUUUUGCUUUCAUCAAGAACUCUUUUUGAAUAUUAAGUUUUGAAAUCUUUUCUUUAUGUUUUAAAUUCAUGUUUUUGAAAUCGCAAGCUAAUUCCUCAAACGCUUCUUCCAUUGAAAAAGAGAAAGGUUCAUGAGAUGAAGAAUCUACCUUAAAUUCUUGGAUUGAGAGUUGGACUUCAUUUGAUUCCUCAUUGGUUACCUCAUCAUGUAUUCAAACUUAGCUUUCAUAAUCUUUUUCUUCUAAUUUUUCCUCCAUCGUUUUUCCAUACAAUCCUUUUAAAGUUUCCCAAAUUUCUUUGGCACUAUUACUUUGGGCGACUAUUGUACUCUCUAUUUUUGAGUGCUCUAAAGAGAGUAUGCAUGGCAUUUACAUUGAGUUGCAAUAAGUCUAAAUCACUUGUAUCCCAAUUAUCCAUUUCUUUGUUUACCUUGUGUGGACCAUUUUCCAUCAAUUUCUAUACUUCAUAAUCAUUUGCUUGAAUGAAUAACUUCAUUGUGUUCUUCCAAUAGGAGUAGUUUUCACCAUUAAGAAAAAGAAGAUUCACAAUUAAUUACCCUUCACUUAAGAUUGCUGCAAGGGAGUGUGGCCAUGUCUUAGAGCUAACAAGGAUCACACAAAGGCUAUUAGACCUAUAAUAUUUAGUCCAAGCUUUAAUACCAAUUGUUAGAUAUUGUUAGCUCUAUAAAUAUGGGAAAUAGAUCCGAGAAAAGGGUGAUAUAAAUUCUUUAAUACAAUCGAAAACUUUUGAGGAAUCCAAGCUUAAAAAUAAGGUUUUAAAUGUGUUUUUCACUUUAAGACAUGCCAAAGGAAAUUUAACAAGCAACUUAAAGAAUGUGCAAGUUAAAAACAAGUUUUUAACUCUUCAAAGUAAAGUCUCCAAGUGAAAGUGGUGAAGGGUAAGCCUUUCAAGUAUGCCAAAAAUAUUUUGAUGUGCAAGUCGAGAGGUGAAUGAGUUAUAAACAAUUUUUCUAAAAAAUUUAUAAAGGUUUGGCCCUCUCUAUAAGUGCCUACAUCCUCUCCAUUAGCAAGCUAAGGAGUUUCAAAUCCACUAUGGAAAGUACUUUUUCAAGGCUUAAGCAUAACCUUUACAAUGCCUUUUCAAAUGAUUAAGCACAACCUUUACAAUACCUUUUCAUAAGAUCAAGCACAACCUACACAAUACCUUUUCAAAGGAUUAAGCACAAUCACUUAACUUUUCAAGGCUAAGUUAGAACCUUUAUGCCUUUUAUGGAUCAAGUACAACCUUACAAUGAUACCUUUUUAAAGGCUAAGGCACAACCUCUUCUAUCUUACAAUUUUGAGUAGCAAGAAUUCAUCUAGAAGAUGGGUUUUUCUAAGUAAAUAUAGGUUGGAAGAGUGUGAUGAGUAUAAAGAUAUUUUAAAGAUUUAAAUGAAAGCAUAAAGAACUUUAAGCUUAAAAAUGGGUGCUUGCUCUUGCUUAGUUUUCUCUUUUUCUUUUUUCUUUACACAAUUUGAUCUUUGAGUAUUUGGCCUUUCUCACCUUUUUCCCCUUUACAAAAUGAUUUCAAAAGGUUUUUUAUAGUUGAAAGAGUCUUGGAGCCAUUAAGGCUAAUUCAAUAAAGAAACAAGACGUUUCCAUUUGAACUCUAUGUCUAAGGGUUUUUAAGGACCGAACUUAGAUAAUGAGGAUGUUGAUCCUAGUUUGUAUUUCUUCUUCGCAUUGUACUUGUAGGAUCAAGCUUUUAAAGAGCUACGCUAAUCCAAGACCCGAGACUUGAUUAGUUUUACUCUUUCAUCUUCAAGGACUGAGCUUGGAAAUGAAUAUGUCGAUUCUCUAAGCUUCUAGUGACUCUUUGUCAUCUUUCCUUCCUUUUAGGAUCGACCUUGGCUUGGCCAAUGUUGAUCCUCUAUGCUUUCUUGCAUUUUCUUGGUUUUUGACUUAGGAUCAAGCUUCAAGGCAUGGAUGUCGAUCUUGAACCAAUAGCUUCUUUUCUUCUUUUCUUUUUUUUUUCUCUUUUUAAGCAUUUAGAAUCGAGCUUUAAAAGUCAAAUGUCUAUUCUCUUCUAGAAGUUAUGUCACAUAAACUUCCAGUUGCUCUGUUGCAUGUUUUUCAAAUUUUGAAUUAAGCUCGGUAUUAUAGGGCUUGACCUUUUUUAAUAGUUUAAGGUAAAUUCUUCACUUUGUGAACCUAUUUUUGGAAUUCAAAACACUUCAACAUCUCAAAAAUGAAUAUUCGAAAGGUCAUGAAACUUAUGCAAGUAAAACUCAUACAUAUAUUUAAUCAAGAACAAGCAUAUGAAAUUUUAAUAACUUCAAGAAUCAUUCAAUUAAGUUCUCAAUUAAGUUCAAGGAUUACUUAAUAAGUUCAAGGAUUACUUAAUAAGUUCAAGGAUUACUAAAGCAAUUUUGAUCACUUUGUCAUAUCUAAAACCAUAAUCAUUUGCUACUCGACGGGUCAAAUAUCAAAAGUCAACUUCAAAAGUAUCGAAACCCAAAAGAAAAGUAUUGAUGUAUUUCAAACAGAAAGUAUUCUGCGAAAAGUCUCGAUACUUAAGAAGCCAUGAGACAAAGUAUCAAUACCUCAAAACUGAAAGGCGUGAAAAAGGCACAAAUAACGAUUAUUUUUUGUACAAAUUGACUUAAAUGGCUCCCAACUUUCAGACUAUAAAUACAAGUUUUCAACUUGAUUUGAUAGAUGAGAAGGCACUGAAAAACAUUCCUUUAAGCAGAGAACAAGAAUCAUCUUCAAAAUCAUCAAAUUCUCUCUCACUUUUAUAUCUUCUUAUUGUAUCAAUCAUUGAACUUUGAAUUUCUUCAUUCUUUAGUGACAUACUUUGUAAACCGCUUGUACUUACACAAACUAUCAACCUUAUAAAGGCAUUAGAGCUUUCAUAUCUUCACCCUUGUAUUGGAUUAAAAGGUUCUACCUUAGCCUUCAAAAAGUAUUGUUGUUUAGUUAAUGCUUAAACCAUAGAAAAGAUAGAGAAGCUGAGUCUUAGACUUGAAAUGACUAAUGUAAAAGCUGUGCUUGAUCCUUAACAGGCAUUUUAUAUAGUGGAUUACAAAUUUCUUAAUGAACUAAGAUAGAUGACGUAGGCAAAGAGGCCGAACUUCUAUAAAAUAAUCGUGUCUAGCUUUUCUUCGUUCUAACUAUAGUUGUUGUUUUCAAAAACCAAUUUCUUUAAAAGUGUUUCUUUAAUUGUGAAAGUCUCAAAGAAAUGAAUUUUUCAAAAAGCAAAGCGUCUAGGGUUUUAAACUUAGGAAAUUUUUAAAUAUUCAAUUCACCCCUCUUGACUUUCUAUUUUUCUGAGCUUAUAAAUCUAACACUCAUAAAUAAAAAAAAUAUUUUUGUUAUUACAAUGUAUAAAAUCAAUAUUAAUGUUUCCUAUAAAACAUGUCCAUCGGCUUGUAAGGUACACAACAACUCUAUCAAAGUUAAUGUGUGCUGAAAUCAUUUUGAUCAUUUAUACCAAGUGACAAUUUUGUUCCAAAUUCCUAACUGGUGAAAAAUUGAAGAUAUAUUAUUGAUUAAGGAUUUAAUUGAAUUCAAUAAUCCAAAAAAUGCUUAAUUGUUUAAUUUGAAAUAUUUCAAAGCCAUUUUCUUCAAUUUAAUCUCUUUGUAACCAUAUAGUGCUUGGUUUAAUAGUUGAUGCAUGAUCUCUUUACUCAAAAAACAAGGUUCGAAUUUCACUUUUUCUCUAAUUUUUUUUCUCUAAAAAAAGAAGUAGUGAAAUAUAAUUGAUUAAAUUUAAAACGAACGUGAUUAAACAUUCUCAUAAAAAUCAACGAGAAGUGAUCUUUAUAUAAAGUAUAAAGUAUAAAGUAUAAUUGAUUUAAAAUAUAAUGGAUUUUGAUUUAAAAAAUUUGUUUCUGAUUAAUCAAAUUAACUAAUUUUUUUAUAUAAAGUAUUUAUAAGUUAUAAAUAUAGCAUAUAUGUUUAUAUAACAAUAACAUUUAUGUUACAAGUAUUUAUCUACAAAUUACGAUAGGAUUAAAUUUCCUUUCUUUAUUGUUGAGCUUGAAGUUUACUAAAAUUCUAAAUAUUAGUUUUUACUUUACAAUGUACUGUUACUCAAUUACUGUACAGAUACAUUACUAUUUUACCUUUGGUUGUUCUGUUUGUUAAUAGCCUUGAGUAUCAAUAGUACUUCUUUUUUCCAUUUUUUGUUAAUAAAGAAAACUUGCAGAAUACGAUUCUUGCAUUUUCUCAAGAUAAUUGUAAUUACGUGCCCAAGAUGUAAGGAAUGCUGGGAAUGGCCGAGAGUUUACCUAAACUACUGUAUUUGCAGCGCACGAGAUGAACGGUCAUUUACUUUGGGUUUGAUCAAUAUCAUAAGUUGGAGCGUCGCUAAAAUCCCUCAGAUUAUCACCAAUUAUAAAGAGAAAUCCGUUGAGGGCCUCUCCCUCAGUUUCUUGAUCACUUGGAUUGUUGGGUGGGUAUUUCUUCUAUUCUACCAUCGCCUUUUCUUACUUCAAUAUUAUUUACCAAAAGGAUUUUAUCACCAUUCUAUUUGCAAGUAUCUUUUCAAUGUUUUUGGUUGUAUUCUUGAACCAGCUACUGUAAGUGUUAUGCUCGUUUCCUGUAUAUAUAUGGUGAUUUUUACUUUAUUUUUGUUCCUUACCCUAGUCUGAUAACUGAAUCUACUUUGUUAUCCUUUUCAUUGCACUACUCAUACAAAUUGCAUUGUUACUUUCUAUAUACAUAUAUAUAAAUUAUGAAUAAAGAAAUACUUGAACCUCUAGACUAUAUAUAAAGAAAUACUAGAACCCCUAGACUUUUCUACUAGAAUCUCUGUAUAAAGAAUUACUAGAACCUCUAGACUCUUUUAUAGUCUAGAGGUUAAAGAGUCUAAAGAAAUACUAGAACCUCUUGCUCUUUUUAAAAAAGGUUAGAAAAAAUAAGCAUUUCUUAUUUAAAUCUUUAUUAAUUCUCAAUUUGAAUGUGUCUAACAAUUAACCUAACAGGGCUUUAUAUAACUAUUCCUAAAGCAAAGACCCAUGUGAGAUUAUUUUAAUUCCUAAAUAAAAUAAAGACAUAAUACUCAAAUAAGCUCUUAUAUUAUUCAAGAAUAUGCAUAUAAACUCUUAUUCUUUUAUAUUAAGUCAAAAUCUAGUGAAAAAAUAAAUAAAAAAAAACUCUUAUUUUUUUAUUGCAGUUAAUUAAAUCCCUAUACUUUUAUUUUGCAUCAAAUAAGCCCUUAUGACUAAUGAUUGACUAAUUGCUAUUAGUAAAAAUGUCACUUUCUUUUUAUAUACACAUGACAUUGAUGUAGAGAGUGAAAAAUGUCACAUGAUCAUGUUAUCAUGUCAAAUUAGUAUAUCGUAUCAUUAUUAAUUAUGAUACGUUAGUAUGUCACAUCAUAAUCAAUUAUGAUAUUUUAGCAUACCACAUCAACGUCAUGCGACAUACAAUAACAAAUGAUAUUUUGAUUAAAUUAAUAAUUAGUAAUAAGAGUUUAUUUGAUUCAGAAUAAAAGUAUAAGGGCUUAUUUGGUUCAAAAUAAAAAUAAAAAAGCUUGAUUUGACGUAAUAAAAAUAUAACAACUUAUUUGAAUUUUCUUAAAUAAUUUAACGAUUUUUUUAUAUAUUAUGCCUAAAAUAAAUAAGAGUAAAAUAAAAGAUAAUUAAAAAGGAUAACUAUAAAAAUAAUUUUCCUUAAUUUAAUGUGUAAGUAAGCUAAUGACAUACUUCUGUAUCUGUCUUUACAAAGAGAAACGUGAGAUAUGGCUUCCACAUCAGAGAUAUAUAUUAGGGUUCGUCCUGUUUCAUGACAUAGGAAGUGACAUAUCAUGUUAUUUUUAGCUAGUUCAGUUGUUGUCUUGCAAAGAAUUGAACUUUUCCUGUACAUGUGACCUUAUUAACAUAAAACAAGGAAACAUUGCAUAAAACUCAGAAACAUUGUCAUAUGCAAUCUUAAAACCAUCAUCAUCCUUGUUUUUGUAUGGUUCUUAUGGAUAUAAACAUAGGCAUCUGGAAUGGAAAAUUAACAAAAGAGAAUAAAAGAAACUUAGGGAGGUCACACUGGUGAGGUUGCCAUCUCCAGAACUCAGAGUUCGGGACCUUUCUCCCGAACUUUUCACAAGCUAGCUAACUGAUUAGACAUAAACGUGCAUUCUCUCUCUUCGUAUAGUCCUGAAAACCAAUUGCAUCUUGAGGUCAAGCUGCCACCAGAACUUUCAUAUAUAGUCCCCGUACUCGAAGAGUUGUUCAUUUCUUUUGUCUCAGAUAGAUGGCGGCAAUGACUACAAUGGCAAUGAGAAGGGCAACAAGCGAUUGGAAGCUGGUCCUGACACCCCAUUCUGCAAAAACCAUAACCUGCUGCUUCUUCGCCAUAUUCUCCGCUCUCUUUCCUUGUUCAUCUAUGAGUCGGCUCCCCAUCUCUCUGUUUCCUCUUUUCGAAGUCAAUUUCCAGGGAUUGGUGGGAAUCAAUUUUCACAAUUUAUUGUUUUGCCUUGGAUUAGGACAAGUGGAAGUACAAAUAUCCGAUAGUUUGCUGAAAGCAACAGAGGACUUGUAGCGGUUGGUGUUUCUUGCUUUGUUUUACCAGAACACUCGUACUUCCAAUUCCAAACAAGCUUACUAGGUUUCCGUUAAUGCUACUGUCAGAAGACAAUGUCCAUUGACGUGUUGGUAAUUUGAGAAAAGAGCAACUCGGGAUGCUAAUGACUGAAUCAUACAGAUUUUUCCAUUGUUGUGGUUAAAGCUGAGUUGUUAGUCGAAUAAAUUUAUGCAAUUUAGGUUAGUGUUGUUGGUACAUCUCCCUCUUCUCCCAUCCGUUGCCCUGAAGUUAUAUCAAUUACCAAGCAUUUGUAAAGAGAGGUCACGUUAUAAAUUUUUGGAAGGGACUAAAAUGAAAAUUCUCCACGUUAUGCUAGACAAAUCAAGCAUGACGUCCAAAAAUUGGAAAGCAGAGGGAAGGCCAAGUCCCCUGCCUGCAACCGAGUGUGUUUUUGGGAUUGAUAAGAAUUAAUUUGGAAAAAUAGACAAAAAUUUUCAAAUUAUAAAUACUAAAGAGAUUAUAAAAGUUAUCAACCUAAAAUCUUAAAUAUCUUCUAACAAAAAUAUGAAAAGAUAUUGAGUUAUAUAUUAUUGAAAUUAAUUAGACCAAGAAGCUGUUUAUUAUCAUAAACUCAAAAACUUUUAAGUCUAUUAUAUGCAAUUGUAAGAUAAAUGGUGAAUUAAACUUGUAGAUAUACUUGGAUUUCAUUGACUAUAUCAAAAUUUCCAAGCUGACAAAACAAUUUAAGAUCAACAGUUAAAUUUAAAACUAAAUUAAGUUUUGAAAAUAUUUUUCAAAAGUGAAAUUUUAAUAUUGAGCUUAAAUUAAAAAAAAAGUCAAUAAUACUUAACCGAGUCAUAAUUUCUAUUCAUAAAUAAUAAAAUUAAAAUUCACUUUUUUAUCUAAAUAAUAAAAAGAACAAAGUCAAGGAUAGAAGUCUGAAAUUUUCUGGUGCAACCAUAUAUGCAAGUCGUAACACAUCCAAUCCAUUAUGCUCUCCACCACAACAACCCAGAAUUUUCCUUCCUUCAUAUGAGACUGAGCAAGUUCGUCUUACUCUGUUGCUUCCCCUUCGACAUCUUUUGGUCUCCCGUUACCGUAUACACGAUAGCAUACUCCUGUAGCGCAGCAAUCUAUAACUGUCCAGCUGGGCUCACAAAAUGAGGAUUUCACUUGUUUCAUGGCUCUUCUUCGAUUCAUUUAUAGCAAUUUUCUGUAUCAUUAACGCAGUUUCGGUUUCUGGCCAAUGUCAAAGCGAUCAGCAAGAGUUGCUGCUCAGAUUGAAAAAUGGCCUCGAUUCUACUUUAUCUGUGAAGCUGGUGAAGUGGAAUCAAAGCAAGGAUUGUUGUUCUUGGGAUGAUGUAAGCUGCGAUGCAGGGGGUCGUGUUAUCGAACUAGACUUGAGCAACCAAUCAAUCAGCGGUGUGAUUGACAAUUCAAGCAGCCUCUUCGGCCUUCUGUAUCUCCAGAGUCUAAAUUCGGCAUAUAACAGAUUCAACUCCACAAUUGCUUCUAGGCUUGAUGAGCUCGCGGAUUUGAGUUACCUCAAUUUUGUUGAGAUAAAAACUAGCUUGAAUGUCAUUUUGUCUAAUUAUGUACAGGACAUGUGUCCACUUUGUUUUGUUGUGCUGGUUUGGUAAUUCACAGUGCAUGCUGCUGCACAUUUGUCCUAGGACGUGUAAGCACUGCAUGUUUGCUCUAAUGCUAUGUCAAACACUUGGAUUUUUUUUGUACAAGUGUUAGUUAAAUAGAUCUUGUAUAUAUUUAUGCAUUUCUCCUCAGUUAAUGCAAGGGAUCGAUAUCAACCAAGUUCUGCUCUCUGUUUUGUCUAUUGCUUUUACUUUCUCCUUUACAUGCCUGCUGCCUCUUUUCUGUAUUAACAAGAACAUGGUAUCAGAGUUGUGAAUUGAUCCUUUGAGUCCUUUAAACACUUACAAAUUACCUUGAAAGUCUCAUCUACAAUAACCAAACUUCUUUAUCAAACAUGUCAACUUCAACUUCAACCAUUACACAAUAGUCACCUCCUUUUUUUUAUGGUUCCAAUUAUACAGUUUGGGCCAUAAAAAUGAAGGCAUUUCUAAGAGGUGUUAACCUCUGGAAUGUUGUUGAGUUUGAAACUGAAUUGCUAGUGCUAAAGGAGAAUGCUACGCAGGCUCAAGUGAAGCAAUAUGUAGAAGAUAUUGCAAAGAGAUAUAGAGCCUUGUCAUUCAUACAUUCAACAGUGUCUGAAUCGAUUUUCAACAGGAUUAUGGGAUGUGAGACUGCAAACGAGGCUUGGAGUAAACUUGAGAAGGAGUUUUUGGGGUCUGCAAGGAGCAAACAAGUGCGUUUGCAAAACCUCAGAAAGAAAUAUGAGCUUCUGAGAAUGAAAGAGAAUCAGACAAUAGGCGAGUUUGUUGAAGAUCUGAUGAAACUUGUAAAUCAGAUCAGACUCAUGGGAGACUCCCUCAUUGAUUUGAAAGUGGUAGAAAAGAUUAUGUUGAGCCUACCAGAAAGGUUCGAUCCCACAAUCACCUCUCUGGAGCAAGUUAAGGAUAUUACAGAGCUCUCAAUAUCAGACUUGGUUAGUGCUUUGGAAGCUGAUGAACAGAGGAAGGCAGCAAGAAGAGAUGAAAGGGUAGAUCAAGCACUGGCAGCUCGUGCAAAAGGUAAAGCUCCUGCUGAUUCUUCAUUUAAAAAGAAUUCAAAUGAGAAUAAAGAAAAAGACAAAACUGGUACAACUGCUGGAAGAUUUCGAAACAAAAAAGGCAAGUUUCCAAUCUGCCCUCAUUGUAAAAAGAGAAGCCAUUAUGAAGCUUAUUGUUGGUUCAGACCUAGAGUUAAAUGCAAUGCAUGUAAGCAGUUGGCACAUGUAGAGAAAGUUUGCAAGAAUAAAGCUGAGGUUGCAGACAAAAAGCAACAGAUUGCAAAGCAAGUCGAGAAAGCUGAAGUUGCAGAAGAAGUGUUGUUCAUGACUAUUGAAGACUCUAACUCAUCAAACUAUAAUCACUGGCUUCUCGAUAGUGCAUGCUCUAAUCAUAUGACUUCAAAGGCUGAGCUAUUCUCAAAGCUGGAUACUGAUCAUUGCUUUUCAGUUAAAAUUGGAAAUGGCUUUAUACUGAAUGCUGUGGGGAAAGGAACAGUUGCAAUUCAAACUACUUCAGGCACCAGGUAUGUUUUGAAUGUGCUUCUGGUUCCUAAAAUAACUCAAAAUUUAUUAAGUGUUGGUCGGUUAGUUGAUGAAGAUUACAUGUUGGUAUUCAAAAACAAUGCAUGCACAGUUUAUGAACCCUCUGCUGUCUAUAUGAUGUCUGUUCCUAUGGUUAGAAAUUGCUUCCCUGUUAAAUGGGGAAAUUUGUGCUUAUCUGCAACAGAAUCUUCAUCAAAACAAAUUUAUCUGUGGCACAAGAGGCUAGGCCAUUACAAUUAUUAGUCCUUGUUGCAAGUAAGUGCCUCUGGUUUGUUGUUGAAUCUUCCUAAACUGCAUGAAGAUGGUCCUAUAUGCAGCUCCUGUCAAUAUGGUAAGCUGACUAGAAGGUCUUUUCCUAAAGCAAGUUUGAAUAGAGUCGAACAUAGAUUAGAGUUAGUUCAUUCAGAUGUUGCUGGACUUAUGAGUGAGCCUUCUUUAAAUGGAAGCAAAUAUUUUGUUAUCUUUAUUGAUGAUAUGUCUAGAAUGACUUGGAUUUACUUCAUACAGCAUAAGUCAGAAGUGUUCUCAGUAUUUCAGAAAUUCAAAGCAAAAGUUGAGAAUGAAUCUGGCUGCAGAAUUAAGAUACUAAGGACAAACAAUGGAGGUGAGUACACUUCUUCAGAAUUCACAAGCUAUCUGGAGAAGGAGGGCAUUCAUCACCAACUAACAGCUCCAUAUUGUCCUGAGCAGAAUGGUGUUAGUGAGAGGAAGAACAGAACAAUUAUUGAGAUGUCCAGGUGUCUCCUGUUUGAGAAGAAGCUUCCUAAAAGCUUUUGGGCUGAGGCAACUAACACUGCAGUUUAUCUGCAAAAUAUCCUGAUCACUCAAGCUGUGAAUAAUGAAACUCCUUAUGAAGUUUGGUACAGCAUCAGACCAUUUGUGGAUCACUUGAGGAUCUUUGGAUCCAUUUGCUAUCUCCAUGUUCCUGACGAACUUAGAGACAAGCUGCAACCCAAGGCAAAGUUGGGAGUUUUUAUAGGUUACAGUCAGUAGUCAAAAGCUUACAGGAUUUAUCAAAUUGAAUCUGGCAUAGUCUCUGUUAGCAUACAUGUAACAUUUGAUGAAGGUGCAUAUUGGAACUGGGAAAAGAAUCAAAUGCAGCAUACUAAAUUUCUAGAUGAAGAUGUUAAUCUUCAACUUGCAAACAGUGAAGAGAUACUUGAUGCAGAACAGAUUGUAGAUGAACCUCCUGUGAGAGAUACUCGAUCAUUACAAGAAAUUUAUGGAAGCUGCAAUGUAGCUGUAUUUGAACCUGCUACACCUGAAGAAGCUAUUGUAUUACCAGGAUGGAAAGAAGCAAUGGAAGAAGAAAUGAAGAUGAUAAAUCUCAACAAGACAUGGAGCUUGGUAGACGACCUAAGCAUCAUCAUGUUGUUGGAGUGAAAUGGGUGUUUAGAAUGAAGCUGAACUUAGAUGGCUCUUUGAGCAAGCAUAAAGCAAGGCUUGUUGUUAAAGGCUUUGCUCAAUUGCCUGGAGUAGACUAUCUUGAAACAUUUGCACCAGUUGCAAGAAUGGAUACCAUUCGACUGCUGCUAGCAUUGGCAGCUAAGUUUAAAUGGAAAAUAUUCCAUUUGGAUAUCAAAUCUGCUUUCUUAAAUGGUGAUUUGCAGGAAGAAAUUUUCAUUGAGCAGCCUUAUGGUUUUGAAAGUGAGCCUAACCGAGACAAAGUGUAUAAACUUCAUAAGGCACUCUAUGGCUUGAAGCAGGCACCACGUGCCUAGUACUGCAAAUUUGAUGACUAUUUGAAGGGUCAAGGUUUUCAAAAGAUCAGUAAUGAAGCUGCUUUAUAUAUACAGAAAACUGAUUAUCAAAAUCCUUUGAUUAUUUCAUUGUAUGUUGAUGACAUGUUAGUUACAGGAGGAGAUGAUCAAAGAAUUGCAAAACUCAAGCUUGGAAUGCAAAGCAGAUUUAGAAUGACAGAUCUUGGACAGAUGAGUUAUUUUCUGGGGUUACAAAUCCUUCAAAGUAAUACUGGAAUUUUCAUAUGCCAAUUAAAUUACAUUGGUGAGAUUCUGGACAAGUUUAAAAUGACAGAUUGCAAGACAGUAGCCACUCCACUUAUUCCUCAUGAGAAUCUGUCAGUUGACAAAGGGUCUGCACUCGAAAAUCCUUCAGCCUUUAGAAGCUUGAUAGGAUCAUUGCUUUAUAUUUGUGCAUCAAGACCUGACCUGAUGUUUGCUGCAAGUUAUCUGUCUAGGUUCAUGCAGGUUCCAACAACUCAGCAUUUCUCAGCAGCAAAAAGAGUGCUUAGAUAUUUAUAAGGCACUGCAAAUUUUGGUCUUCAAUUCACUUAUACAGAUGAAAGUUUAGUUGAGUUGGUUGGAUUCUCGGAUAGUGACUGGGCAGGCUGUGUGGAUGAUUGUAAAAGCACUUCUGGAUAUGUGUUUACAUUAGGAAAUGGUGUUUUUUGUUGGAAUUCAAAGAAGCAAGAAACCAGUGCUCAAUCAUCUACAGAAGCAGAGUAUAUAGCAGCAGCUACAGCUGCAAAUCAAGCCAUUUGGGUGAAAAAGAUCUUAACUGAUCUUGGCUUUCUUCAUGUGCCUCUAGUCAAGCUGUAUGUGGACAACAAAUCUGCUAUUGCCAUGGUGAAAAAUCCUGUUUUUCAUAGCAGAACAAAACAUAUCAAGGUCAAAUACCAUGCCUUGAGAGAAGCUGAGAAGAAUCAAGAGAUAUCCAUUCGGCAUUGUAGCUCCAGUGAUCAGCUUGCAAACAUUUUAACCAAACCUCUUCACUUGUCCACGUUUGAAGAACUGAGAAGCAAAUCAAAUAUUCAGCAAGCUAGUAUUUAGGAGGAGUGUUGAGAUACAAACUAGCUUGAAUGUCAUUUUGUCUAAUUAUGUACAGGACAAGUGUCCACUUUGUUUUGUUGUGCUGGUUUGGUAAUUCACAAUGCAUGCUGCUGCACAUUUGUCCUAGGACGUGUAAGCACUGCAUGUUUGCUCUAAUGCUGUGUCAAACACUUGGAUUUUUUUUGUACAAGUGUUAGUUAAAUAGCUCUUGUAUAUAUUUAUGCAUUUCUCCUCAGUUAAUGCAGGGGAUCGAUAUUAACCAAGUUCUGCUCUCUGUUUUGUCUAUUGCUUUUACUUUCUCCUUUGCAUGCCUGCUGCCUCUUUUCUGUAUUAACAAGAACAUAUUUGUCAAAUGCUGGCUUCAGUUGUCAAAUACCUGUAGCAAUGUCAGGAAUGACAAGGUUGGUUACUCUUGAUUUAUCUACGCUAAACUUCCCUGGAGACGUUCCAUUGAAGCUUGAAAACCCAAAUCUACGAAUGCUUGCUCAAAAUCUGAGUAAGCUACAAGAGCUUUACCUUGAUGGCGUGAACGUAUCAGCGUAGGGAAAAGAGUUGUGCCAGGCCAUAUCUGCUUCAUUAAGUGAAUUGCAAGUGUUAAGCAUGUCCAGCUGUUUUCUUCUGGACCAAUUGAACCUCACCUUUAAAACUUGAAGGAUCUCUCUGUUAUACAUUUGGAUAAGAACAAUUUGUCUUCUACGAUGCCAAAAUUCCUUGCUAAACUUUCAAAUUUGACUUCCUUGCGGCUCAGUUCGUGUGGCUUGCAUGGACUAUUUCCAAAAGAGAUACUCCAGGUAAACAAGCUACAGUCUCUUGAAAUAAAAUGAAAAAGUUCAAGGUUCCUUGCCAGAAUUCUCUCAUAAUGGUUCUCUUCGUAUCCUAGUGAUUAGCAAAACAAAGUUUUCUGAGUCAUUAACAUUCCACAAGCAACCUUCUGAACUUGACAAGAUUAGACCUUUCCUAUUGCAAUUUCAGUGGAGCAAUUCUGAAUUCAAUCCCAUAUCUCCAACAGCUUGUUUAUUUGGACUGGUCAAAAUCCAUCAUUUGAUAUGUCCAAAAAUCUUGCCUAUAUAGACCUCUCUCAUAAUAAACUGACUGGUGAGGUCCAAUCAUAUGACUGGAAAGGCCUUCAAAAUCUUACUCAUAUUGAUUUAAGUCAUAAUUCACUUUAUGGGAAUAUUCCCUCCUCUCUUUUGGCACUCCAGUUACUGAAGAAGGUUAAGCUUUCCAACAAUCAAUUUAACGGAAAAGUUAUUGACGUUCCAAAUGCACCACAAUCUUUAUUGGAUACUCUUGAUCUCAGUAGCAACCAACUGCAAGGUCCUAUACCCAAGUUUGUUUUUGAGCUCAGUAGAAUUUUCAUCCUUUCGCUUUCUUCCAACAAGUUCAACGGUACUAUACGGCUAGGAGACAUUCAGAAGCUUCUCAACCUCACAUGUCUUGACCUUGGCAUAACAAUCUGUCUGUCAAUGCAACUGGCAGCUAUUCUACCUUGGCAUCCUUCCCCAAGAUUACUAGACUGGAACUGGCUUCUUGCGGACUGAAAGUCUUUCCUGAUCUAAAGAACCAAGCAAGACUUACCUAUCUGGAUCUUUCAGACAACCAAAUUUCAGGUGAAGUACCCAACUGGAUUUGGAAUGUCGGUAAUGGCCUUCUCCAGCAUUUGAACCUUUCAUUUGAUCAGCUAGUUAGUCUGCAAAAACCUUAUCAAAUACCUGGUCUCUCAGUCCUUGACCUGCAUUCUAACAAACUUAGUGGUAAUAUCCCAACUCUUCCUCCAUCUGCGAGCUAUCUGGAUUAUUCCAGAAAUAACUUUACUUCUUCUUUACCGCCUAACAUUAGUAGCUGCCUCUCGUGUACUAUUUUCUUUUCUCUCUCAAGCAAUGGCCUUAAGGGUUUCAUUCCUAAUUCAAUAUGUGAUGCUGGUUAUCUGCAAGUUCUUGACUUGUCCAACAGCAGUCUGACUGGUGCAGUACCAAAAUGUUUAAUUGAAAGGAUAGUAUCUCUAGGGGUACCGAAUCUUAGGGGCAACAGUCUCAGUGGCAAUAUUCCUGAUGCAUUUUUAAGUCAUUGUUCCAUACAAACACUAAAUGUCAAUGGCUAUGAGCUUGAAGGGAAGAUUCCAAGAUCCCUCGCUAGGUGCAAAAUGCUGGAGGUGUUAGACCUUGGUAACAAUCGGAUCAGUGAUUCCUUCCCUUGCCAUUUGAAGAACAUAUCCACCUUGCGGAUUCUGGUUUUGAGAGCAAAUGAAUUUCAUGGGAAAAUUGGUUGUCCAGCAAUUAUGGCCCCCCGGCCAAAACAUCAAAUUGUCGACAUUGCUCACCAUAGUUUUAAAGGAAGACUACCAGAGAAAUGGUUAACAACAUGGGAGGCAAUGAUGGUUGAUGACGAUGAAGCCCAAUUAAGUGUUAAACACCUCCAAUUUGAGGUUCUGAAAUUAACUCAGUGGAAUUUAUUAUCUGCACGGCAUAACAGUUACCAUGAAAGGUCUAACAAUGGAGCUGGUAAAGAUCCUAACUGUUUUCUCCUCCAUUGACUUUUUAUGCAACAAAUUUGAAGGGCUAAUACCAAAUGUGAUCGGUGAAUUCAAAGCACUCUAUGCUCUGAACUUGUCACACAAUGCUUUCACAGGCGCAAUCCCACCAUCUUUAAGAAAGUUGCAACAGCUGGAAUCCGUGGACCUCUCAAGUAAUAACCUGUGUGGCAGUAUUCCUCAACAGCUGGCAAAACUAAAUUUCCUUGCAUUCCUUGACCUCUGACACAACCAACUGGGGGGAAGGAUCCCAAAAGGUAAUCAGUUCCGGUGGCUUUCAGAUGAUUCAUUUGAUAACAAUGGGGGAUUAUGUGGACCUCCUUUAGAGGCAAAAUGUCAAUCCCCAGACAGCCCUUCCCUUGAGAUUCUGAAACUGGGAAGCAGAUCGACCAGAGCUGAGGCAGGGAGCGAUAUUCAUUGGAAUUUUAUAAGUGCUGAUAUAGGUUUUUUCUUUGGGUUAGGAAUUGUCAUUGCACCCCUUAUCUUUUGGAAGAGAUGGAGGAUAUGGUAUUAUAAGCACAUUGAUCGUGCUCUUUUCAGUCUUUUCCCUCGGCUGGAGAGCUCACCGGAGUCAGAGGAAGAGGCUCAAGCAACGAUGGAAAGGAGCAGGGAAUCAAUGAAAAGAUUUUUAGCUAGUUCCUUUGUUGUCUUUUCCUGUUUUUGGUUUUUUUUUUUUUCAUAAAUUCUUUUGAAGAAAAACAAAUUAAAUUAUCCUAAAAAUAGAAAAUGAAAACGAACAUUCUCUUCUCAAGUUAGCAUUCUUUCAGUUUUAUGCAAAUAGAAAACGUUUUCACUUCUCUAGCUGAUCAUCCUUGCUUGAUAACACAUUAAUAUCAAAAGGCUCAUCAGGACAACUUAUCCAGAAUGAUACCUGUGAUAGAAACAAAACAUUAAUCUAACACAUACCUGAUCAUAAUUCAAUUCAAUUUCACUUGUUCCUAUCUUGGUUGGAGGUUUACCAAAUAAUAAAAAUGAUUGCUGACUCCAACCACUUAGAUUGGACCCUGCACCAGAAUCUCAGCUCCCUCUUAUGAAAAUUGAGAUCGUUUUGCCUUAUGUCAAAUCCAACAUAAAUUGUAUUCGUAGCGCCUAGAAUUUGAAGAUGAAACUUUUGCUUAAAACAUUUUAUCAGUAAUUCAGAAUAAAGAUUUUUCCUCAACUUGAUAUGGGAAGAAGGGCUAAUGGAGUUCACAAGGGAAACUAGAGUAAUUCUUCUGAAGUGAUUAUAUUACUUGGUUCUACUUGCAUCAAUGAGAAGAAAAGCAAAUGCAGGAAAGCAUUUCUACUGAUGAAAAAGUUGAGUCAUGGCAUAAUAUAAAUUGGUACUAGCAUUUAGAGUUGAGUCCAAGAUAUAGGAUUCAUCUGCACAUGAUGCAGUGCAAGAGUAAAGCAUCCUGACUAAUUUUGUUUAAGGCAGCUUUGCUUGUUUCAAUGUAAGGAAUGCACGAAUGCAUCUUUCCUGAUAUGAUAAAAAGCAAUGUCAUGCCCUAAUAUCAAUGUGCUUCUAUGGAAUCUAUUCUAUAGAUAGCCUAGCAAUUUUCUUCUGCAGUCAUUCAAGUCUUGCAGAUUGCAGCAAUUGGUGCCAUAAUCAUGGGGCAUAUACAUUUAUAUUUCAACAAGUGUAAAAUUCCAUUCAUGCCACAGCUUCAACCACUGAUUAAAAACCUUUUCCAAAUUCUUAACUGGUAAAAAUUUGCAGAUAUAUUGUUGAUUAAGGAUUUAAUUGAAUUCAAUAAUCCAAAAAAUGCUUAAUUGUUUUAAUUUGAAAUAUUUCAGAGCCUUUUUCUUGAAUUUAAUCUCUUUGCAACCAUAUAGUGUUUGGUUUAAUAGUUGAUACAUGAUUUCUUUACUCAAAUAACAAAGUUCGAAUUUCUCUUUUUCUCUAAUUUUCUUUUAAAAAAAUAAUGAAAUAUAAUUGAUUAAAUUUUGAAACAUACGUGAAUUAAACAUUCUCAUGAAAAUCAACUAGAAGUGAUCUUUAUAUAAAGUAUGAUUGAUUUAAAAUAUAAUUGAUUUUGAUUUUAAAAUUUUAAUUCUGACCAAUCAAAGUAACUGAUUUUUUUUUAUAUAAAAUAUUUAUGAGUUAUAAAUAUAGCAUAUAUGUUCAUAUAACAAUAACAUUUAUGUUAUAAGUAUUUAUCUACAAACUACAAUAAGAUUAAAUUUCGUUCCUUUAUUGCUGAGCUUGAAGUUUACUAAAAUUCUAAAUCUUACUCAAUUAGUGUACACAUACAUUACUAUUUUAGCUUUGGCUAGUAAUUCUUUAUUCAUUCUCUGUUAAUAAAGAAAACUUGCAGAAUACGAAUCUUACAUUUCCUCGAGAUAAUGGCAAUUACAUGUCCAAGACGUGGGGAAUGCUGGGAGUGGGCGAGGGUGUACAUAAACUACUGUAUUUGCAGCGCAAGAGAUGAAGGCUCGUUUGCUUUGGGUUUGAUCAGUAUCAUAAGUUGGAGCGUCGCUGAAAUCCCUCAGAUUAUCACCAACUAUAAGGAGAAGUCGGUUGAGGGCUUCUCCCUCGGUUUCUUGAUCACUUGGAUUGUUGGGUGACUAUUUUUUCUUUUCCUACUUCCAUAUUAUUUACCGGACCAUUCUGUUUCACUUUUGUUUCUUGCUUAUGCACUUGCAGGGAUCUUUUUAAUCUUUUCGGUUGUAUUCUUGAACCGGCUACGGUCAGUGAUUUGCUCGAUUCCUGUAUAUACAUGGUGAUUGUUACCUGUUUUGGGUGUUUGGUACUGUUUCCAUAUCAGACAGCAGGGCCGGCCCUCGGGUGAAGCCACCCAAGGGCUUUAGGCCCCCAAUUGGAAGAGAUCUCAAUUUUAGAGAAAAUUUAUAAUUUUAUAAUAAUUAUAAUAUAAUUAAUUAUAUUAAAAAUAUAUAAAAAUUUAAAAAAUAAUUAAUAAAAUUAUUUGUUCUUUCACUUUUUUAAUUAUGUGUUUAAUAAAUCUCAAUUUUCUAUUACUUAUUUAUUUUUAAAAUGUUAUUAAUUCUCAACUAUAUUCUCUCAUUUUCAAUAAACUAACAGCCAUAUGUAUUUAAUCAUCUUCGACAACUAUUUUUUUCUCACUUAUUUCUCUUAUUUUCAAUCAACGCUUUUAAUGAUUUUCAACAACUAUUUUUUUUUCUAUAUAUAAAACCAAUUAUAUUUUUAAACGUAUAAUAUCUACUUUUGAAAUCUUCUUUUCUCAUUUGUUCUUUCUUCCUUUAAUUUUAAUUUUUUUCCAAAAAAUACACAACAAGUCUGUUCUUUUAUUAUCUUCAUAAAACUGUGAACCUCAUUUGAAAGAUUAUUGCCUUAAUCUUGAAUGUUCCUAAAAAUAUAGCAACUAUUCUAACAUUGAUGGUUUCGGUUUAUUUUCAGAGUUAAAAAUUUUUAAAAAAAUUAUGCACAAAGAAAACAGUCCAAUUGACAUACUUAAUCACAUAAAAAGACUAGAUUCUUUUCCGAAUGUAUAUAUUGUUUUUAGAAAAAUAUUAACAAUUCUAGUAAGUGUUGCUUCAGAAAAAAAAAGGUUUUUUCAAAAUUAAAAUUAAAAAAAUCUUAUUUAAGAUCAACAAUGUUUCAAGAAAGAUUAAAUGGAUUGGUUAUAUUAUCAAUUGAAAAAAAAUAUUAAAAAAACUUAAUUAUAAAAGUUUAAUUAAAAAUUUUACAUCUCAAAAAGGUAAAAAAAUAAAAUUUUAAUAAUUUUUUUCAUUUCAAUUAAAAAAAAACUUCAUUUGAAUAUUUCGUUUUAAACUUUUAAAUUUAUUGGGCUACCACUGUCAAACAGGUGCAACUUUUUUGCUGUCCAGUGUAAAAACAUGCAUCUAUUCAUUGCUAAAAGACAUUUCACAUUAGCACAGAAUGACUUUUUUUACUAGCGACACUUUAUCCUCUUGCUUUCUGAAAUAUUAAGAAUAAAUCUUCAUGGAGCUCUAGUCUAGUUUUUUUUUUUUUUUUUUUUUUUUUUUUUAAAAAAAAACUUGCUUUACAGCAUGUUGAGCUCUAGUCUAGUUUGAAAGAAAUAAUUAUUUUGAUUUUCUAUGGGGAUUAUUACUGCAGCCAGUAUACUGAAACUUUAUUGCUUCUCUUUGCAGCUUCCGACGCAAUACCAUAUGGCAGUUGUAAGAAUGUACUAACCCAAAAUGUUGUUAGUGUAGUCAAUUCUUAAUAAGUAUAUUGUUCUAAUUCUCAGUUAUUGAUUUACAUGACCUUCGUCAAAGCACAGUUGUAUACAAUGACUAGCUCAAUUCUUGCGGCCCAGACUGUGUACUAUGGUCACAUUUAUCCUCGAUUAAAGUUCAAAGGAGUGUGCCACAAGGUAAGAAGUUAAACUACAUUUCUCUUAGAAAAGUUUAGGCAACAAGUUAAAGCUCUGCACUCCCGAAACUAGUGAACCUAGUAGAGAAAGGAAAUAGACUAUUUUGUUAAAUGGUGAGCAGGAGAGAAAAAUGUUUAGUUUUUCAUUAAACCAAGACUAGCUUGUAUGGUAUUUUAUGUUGUAUAUUUAAAUGAUAUCAAUCUUUUGAUUGCAUUUAACUAAAAGGUCAAAAAAAAAAAAAGAAUUGGGAACGAAUACACAAAUCAAUUGUGUUUUUCAUGUUACUUCAGAAGAGUAUAUGGUAUCUUAUGGAAUUAGUGUAUUGUUAUGAUCAUGCAAAUACAUGAAACAGAUUCUUGGUCAUCUUGAUAUGGAUUUUGUAAACUUGAUUUCUCGAAAAUUCGAUUUCAGCUGACUUGUAGUUUAAACAAUUAUGUAUAAUUGGUUCUGUCAGGUCUUAAUAAAAUAGAUUUGAUUGCUUUACCAAGGGAUGAAUCACUAGGGUGCUAAUUGUUCUCAAUUUUAUGUUUAAUAAUCAAUAUGGAUGGAAAUUAAUUGUUGGAAGCCCAUACACAAGGAAGUGAAAAGGGAAUAAAUGUAAAUAAUCUACUUAACCAUUUGUAUCAGAAUAACAAUGAAUCAAUAAACCAUCUUUUACCUAAUUGUCCAACAGCUUAAAAGUUAUGGUCUCCAGUUUUUGCUUUGUUCAUAGUGGCUUGGCCACUUGGGUGAUUCCAGAUAUAGUGGUUGAUUUAUUACAUGCUUGGAAAAUGAGUUUCAGAAAACACACAUAUUGGGAGGGCUGUAGAUUUUAGUGUCCUUAGCUCUAAUGCGAAGAAAUAAAAGCUUGAUAUGCAGAAGUUGGAAUUGCAUUUGUAGGAUAUUAACUUAUUUUCACCGACAUUCUAUUUGGACAUUCAAGAUGUAUUUAAUAUUUCUUUCUAAUUUCUUGUUUGAUUAUGUGCUGCUUUUUCACUUAGUAUGUUCCAUUUUGCUGUUAAUAAAUUUUAAGCAUACGAGGAAAAAAACUUUCAAAUUAUUGUGGUAGGAGGUCUUAAGUUGAGAGAUCAAGUCUAUGUAACUUUUUAUGUUCCUGAUAUGUGGCCAUGGAACAAUCUCAAAGUAUCUAACCAUGAUAUGCUAUGGAAUCUUCAUGAUAUUCGCUCAGUUGUUUUCUCCAUACUUGUAUUUAGUUUCCCCGCAGUGGAGAUCAACAUAAAUAUAACCUUCUGAAAGCAUUGCAGGAGUAUUAAACAUCUUCAUUGGUUUUUGAUGGUCGCAUUGUUUUCUAUGAAGGUUUUUAUUUUGUUUUCAUAGAUGUAUCACGCAACAAAAUUCCACAAUUCACUGUGUUUCAUAUGUAGGGCUCCAAAGAGCACCAACCUGAGGCGGUGGAAAAAGUUGGGGAACAGAUUAACAAUCUUGAUGUGAAACAAGUUAUUGAUGCUGACAGAUUAAGUUCUCCUAUUCCUCUACCAGCAAUUAAUGUAAAGAGUUCUCCGGGCAGAGAAUUUUACUACAUGUAAUUCAAUAUUCACCUUUAAGUUCUCACACUUUCACUAUUUUGCUUUACUUUUUGGACCUAACACCUCAACAACCUUUGUACAUGAGAAACACAAACAAUAUGAUUCAUUUUCUUUUCUUUUCUUUUUUUGAAGUUUGCAUCUGGAUUCUGUUAUUUUUUGGAAUAUUUGGUUUCACUGAACUUAGAAUUGGUUCUGCCAUCCAAGUUAAAAGAUCAAAUUUCCUUAUAUACCUCCUGGAUUGUCAUUUAGUUAAGCAUAUGUCAUAGACUUAGAAUUGGUUUACCCACUUCCCUGCCUACAUGUGCACUUGCAAAUACAUAUAUUUUACUGUAUGUCACUUUCUGUUUGUUCAACAAAAUUUUGGGACAUUUAGGAAGAAAAAGUAACUGAUAGAUGCUGAUGCAGACACUAAGAAGAUAGACUUAGAGCGAGUUUUCUCAUACUUUUUGGGAUCCUGAAAGAAGGUUAGAAACCAAGUUUUCAGUGACCAGUAGGACAUCUAAUGAGUCAAACUACUUCAAGACAUAUGUCAUACCGAAAGAUGGAGAUCACAGAAAACCAUAUGCAUAUUUUGAUAUGCCCUUCUGAAUGAUGCAUAUAGUGAUGAUCUAAUAGUUUCAGUUUGUUUUUUUUAUAUUAUGUUAGGUCAGCAAGAUCUCUAUCAACAAGUCAUACUCCCACAGAAGGAUCCUUCCUUGCACGAAGAAUGACGACUCCUUUUCAUACAAGAAAUUCAGUUGAAGAGCCAUUGCUCAGUGCACAUGUUUCUACCCAGACUGCCUCCCCUCCAAGCACCAAAUCAUUGUUAUGCUUGGUGACUAUUAAUUAACUUGAAGAACUACAUUCUAUUCUAUUCUAAAAAGAAUGUAAUAUAUGAAUUAACUUUUCUCUGUUUCAGGUAUCUGCAUUAAUGUUCAUUGCCACAUUUAAUUUCCAGCUCUCAGCAUUUAAUAAACUUCACUUAAAGCCUGAGAUAAUAAAUCAAGGAUUCGCGAUACAAAUAGGAAGAAAGCUUCUCCAGGUAGUUCAACCUGCUAUUAGUUUCCUCCAUAUGUGCAUAAUCAGUUGCUGGAACAGCACACUUAUAUGUAUAGCCUGAUAUUAAAGCAUUCUAGAGUUUCUCCUAGGCCUCCUCUAUCCAACAUGUUUGUUAACCCUAAUUUAUUUACUUUUUUAUGGGCAUUACCUAUUUUAUUUGACUUCCAGUUGUAGUGUGUCAAAAAUUGGGAAUUCAUCUUUGUUGUAGACAAGCAUGUAAAUUGGAUGCCACCAUGUUUUAGGGAAUUGGAAAGCUCUUGAAUGCCUAUUGGCUUCAUAGCUCUUAUUUUUUAUGCCCUUUUGCUUCAACUAGAUUGAAUUCAUUGUGAUAUUUUAAAUUAAACUUUGCUGAAGAGGAAUAGGCAUCACCAACCAUUUACUGGGAUUUCAGGUAAAUGCUGCGUCAUUAGGAGAAAGUGGCAUUGGAGGAGGCAGCAGGGUUGGAACUUUUCUUGGUUGGGCAAUGGCAGCUAUUUACAUGGGUGGACGCCUUCCCCAAAUUUGCUUAAAUGUAAGUUUUGCAGGAACCAAAUGAGUAGUGUGUUUUAACUGUUUCUCAUAAAAAGAUGAAAGUGUUUAAAUGCUAUAUGUUCUUCUAUUUUGACUUGAUUGCUCACGUCCCCUUGAACUUUCAAUUUUAAAUUUCUAAUCCUUCAACUUCUUAGUAACUAUAGUGUUAGACUGAACUUCUAUCAGAUGUGUAUAAGUAUGGUUCUUAUACAUUGGUAACUUGGGGCAAGCUAGCAUUAUAUGUAAGACUUCCCCUCCUUGCCAGGCCAAGUAGAAUAAGAACAGUGCCUCCUCUUACUGCCUGCUGAUCCUUAAAUGAAAUAUAGCAAAGGAUAUCAGGAUUAGAAUUCUAGGGCUUUAGAUAAAACAGGAUCUAAUACCAUGAUACUAAACCAUUAGACCUAAAUACUUAAGCUAGUAGAUUGGGGCCAAAUUAAUAUUAUGUCUGUUAUAGUAUUAAAUUCUCUUUCUAGUUGUCACAAGUUUUGUGAUACAAUGUUAUUUUUUCACAAAGCAUGUGUUUAAUAAAAGAAUUAUUACACUUUUGACUAGUGGAGGAAGGAUUGCCUUGGUAUCUAUGCUUUGUAUGUCCAAAAUCAUGAAAUUUUUUGGCAACAUUUUGUUUUAAGCUGACAACUUGAAUAUCAUGUAUUUGAGUUGAACUUAAUGUAGUUUUCCCGUUCAACUUUGCAGAUUAGAAGAGGCAAUGUAGAGGUAAGCAUAUUCAUUAAUAUUUUAGUUCUCAAUACCCACAUGAAAGCAAGAACACACAAAAAAUUUUGGUGGCAUGUGCUGCUCCUUUUUGUUUAUAAAACGUUUUGAAUCACUGGAAUAAGCAUGCAGCAUAUUUAGAGCUUGUUUUUUCUACUUGGGAUUAGAGGAAAAAGUAUUCUGUGAAUUGGAGCUUUUUGGGAAGUGCUUUGGAAUUAAAAUUAUAUGAAAGAAUUAAUAAUAUCUUUUUCAGCUCAAAAUCUUCAUUCAAUACCUCUGUCAAUUGUCAAAUGCUGCUUAGCUAUAUGAAAUAAAAGAACAAUGCUUUUGAAGCCAGUCAUAUAAGCAUGGCACUUAAUAUAUAGUUCUUUAUCAUUGUCACCGAAAUGAGAGAACUGAGAAAAAGAGGGAGGAAGGCUGGGAGGGGACAUGUUGUAUUUAUAUCAAUUUGUAUGCAGGGUCUGAAUCUUGUAUGGCUUGUCCACGUGUGCAGGGUCUGAACCCUUUUAUGUUUGUCUUCGCUUUGGUUGGAAACUCCACAUAUGUUGCAAGGUAAAUUUGGUCAACUCAUCAUUGAUGUUUGGCUUCACUUCGAGUCCUGUUCAUCAUUGUAUUGAGUGUGGUUUGUACUUGAACCAUUUCUCAGCUACCUAAUGGUGCAUAUUUGUUCCACUGUUGUUGUUACCUUUCCUUUUUUUUUGUUUCCCUGUAGCAUACUUGUCAAGAGCACGGAUUGGUCAAGAAUCAGACCAAAUUUACCAUGGCUGGUGGAUGCAGGAGGAUGCGUGCUGCUUGAUAUUUUUGUAUCCUUAUUAACGAUGGUUCUGAUAUAAUGCUUUUUAAAUUUUGUAAUGGAUGUGUUAUUUAGAGUCACAAACCCUGGGAAUUUUUUAUUUUGUUGAGUAAUACUUUUUGAUUUUUAUGGUGUCGCUUAUGUUGCCCACUGUUUCUCCUUAUUAUCAUUAAUUGAGUUGCUACAGUCACCCUGAAAAAAUUUCAUAUUCUUUGUAGAACCUUAUUGCAUUUUGCAGAUACUGAUUCAGUUCUUAUACUUCUGCUAUUGGGCACCUCAAGAUGCAGAGUAUAAGCAUGAAAACUUGAAUGCAUCUUAAAUGAUGGCAAAAUAGCCCUUUGUUGAAGGGUCUCUCUCUCAUGUGAGUUUUUGUGCAUACAUGUGCAUGCAUCUGUUUAAGGGUCUAGGCAGUAUUUAUAAUUAAUAUAAAUUUGAACAAUGGUUUUAAUUUUUUUUAAUUUUUCUAAUUAGGAAUAAGAGGUGAUUUUAACUGAAAAUCUAGUUUGGGAGAUAAAAUGUGGUUAUUAUGGGGCUAUUGCCUCAGCCUCAAAGGUGGUUUUAUGCAAUAUUGAUGGUAAUUGUGCUAGGUGAGCAUUCAUAAUUUCAAGGUUAUCUGCUUGAGUUUACUUUUAUUGAUCCUUGCUUGCCAGGGAUUCUUUUCCAAUUGGAAUGAAGUUGGCGGAGCUGGGGGACAUGUCGAUGCCAUGUGCUUUGGAUGCGUGAUGAUAACUCUUCUUUCGGAUUUGUUCAGUCAGUGCAGAAGAUGACAGCUGCUUUUGAUCUUGGCAAAAUUUGUGUAGCCUCUGUUACUGCAUUUUUGCCUACCUCUACCCACUCUUUAUUCUGCUUUGAAUUCUCUCCUCCUUAUAUUUAUUAUUUUUAUUAAAUUAAUAUUUUAAAAAUAAAACAUACAGGGAUUUUAUAUUUUUAUUAUCUUUUAAAGUUACUAAUACAGUAAUCAUUUAUGCUACAUUUAUAGUUUAAUCAACUUCCUUCAUAUUUAAAAGAGUAACUAAAUUUAGGUUUGAGUCAUUCUGAAUUUACUUGCUUUGUUUAUUUAUCAGUUAUAAUUUGUUUCCUAUGAUUUAUCUGGUUAUUGGUUUUAGGUUUUAAUUAUUAUAUUAUAUAGUUUCUCUGUCCAAUUCUUUCCCUAUUUCUUAAAAGAACAAAAAAAUCUAUAACUUUAGUGUAUUUUUCAUUAGAAUUUUUUAAAAGAAAUUGAUGUUCCAUGACUUGUGCCACCAAAAAUUAAAAAGAAUUAUAAAAAAAAUAAAUUUUGCUUAUAAAAAUAAGAAAAUACAAAAAAAAAAGAAAGGAAAAGAAAAGAAUAGGAGAGAUGGAGGCAUUAUUCCUAGGAUUCCGAAAGUUGCUUUAUAACAAUUUUUUAGUAUACUAAAACAUCUUAAAUUAAAAUAAUGUUCAAUGCACUGGAACUACCAUUCCAUCUACUAAUGUGUUUCAGCUGCUAACAACAUUAACAAAAUCUAGUGUCAUGUCAAUUGACUAAUAAGAUCAUACCAUAUGAUUAAAUAAACACCCCCUCACUUUUCAAAUCAGUGUCCAGGAUAGACACGUGGCAUGACUCCAUUUGUUAAAAAACUAUUUAAUUUUUUUAUUUUGAAAACAAACAAAAUAAUAGUUCUAUUUUUGAAAUAAAGAAUUGAAAAUUUUAUUAAAAAAUAAAUUCCUAAUUUUCGAAAAAAAAUGAAAAUUUUAAAAUUCUCCUUUUUAUUUUGUUCUUCAAAAUUUUAAGAUCUACCCUUCCCAAAUUAAAAAACCAAAAUUUAUAUAAUAUUUUUUUUACAGUUUUUGUAAUAUAAAAAAUGAACAUUUAAUUAACAUUUUUUAAUAUAUAUUUUUUGCUCUUUCUUUCUCUAACUCGCAGCUGCUCUUUCCUCUCUCUCCAGAAGCUCUCAGCCAAUAACGAAAGCCUAAACACCCCUUUCUACCACAGUGAGCCGCCUCGGACCUGCUCUCACGGCCAACCUCUAUCACCGCAUAUGGAGACUACUUCCUUCCCUUCUCACUUGAAUGCCAAUCCCGAAUCCUAACUCACCCUUAAAACCCCAAAUCAGCCAAACUAAAAGCCUAAUAUUUUCAAGACUCAAUCUGGGGUUUUCUUUCUCUAGUUUUUUUUAUGGCUCAAUUCUCUUUUUGGGUCGUCAUCUUUGGAGAGGUCACCAUCUGUUCUUUAGGUAGUCUCGGUCAAUAGAUAUAUGUAGUGAUAUAUAUGGAUACUUUGAGCACACGGUUGUGCAUUAGAUUGUCAUGCGAGACAUGGAUUCCGUUUAAUGAAAUAUAUAUAUAUAUAUAUAUAUAUACUGUGAUGGAUCAGAAUUCUGCAUGAAUAUUUAGAGCAUUUGGUUCCAUAGUUUAUGCGUGAUCUUUUCCAUAGUUUAGCAUUAUUAAUUAUUAUUUAUGAGGAUAAAAUUUAGCGAUGUGAUAUGUUAUUGGAUAUGAAUUGGGGCACUCUUUUCCAUAUAGAUCAUUAUUUUUUACUUUUUGCCUUAUCUUUACACUACAUUGAUUAUAUUUCUUAAUUCACAAAGUUCAGUGUAAUAUCUUCUUAAUUAACAAAGUUCAUUGUAUUGCUCCAUCUUCAAUUGCUAUUAAUGUAGGAAUGCUACUAAUUAUUGACCAUUGAUGUGUAGGCGAAUGUAUAUAAAUUUUUUAUUAUGCGUCGUGAUUCUUGAGUGGCAUGUGGCUUGUGCAAAUGUCAAUUGUGGCGUUAGUCCGUUCAAUCGAAGCACCUAACAAUAUAUUUGUUGACAUUAUAAAUGCUUUUGCCUUUUUAGUCUUUUCCUCUUACCUUUUUUUCUAGAUUCUCUCUCUUUCUCCCUUGGAUUUCUCUGCACUUUCUCUCUCUCCUAUAUAUAUAAAUAUCUUGGUAACUUCUUAUCAUUAAGAUAAACUUUUGCUAACCUUUUUAAUUGAUAAUAGUUGUGAAUGCAACUUUUUUGAGGAAAUCAGGGGUAAUUUUGGUGUCGCAAAUAUGUAGUUGUCUUUGCAUUUUAUUUCUUUCUUCAUAUUAUUUCAGAAUGUUUAUGUUCUCUCAGAUUUUUCAUGUGCAUGAGGCAUUAUGGAUCAUUUUUUACUUUUGUUCAAUGGUCAUCGUAGAUUUCAAAUGUGCAUUGCUUUUCUAUUAUUAUUAUUACUUUUUUUAAAUUGUUUUCCAUGUUUAUGUCUAUGUUUUUGUUUUCAUUUAUUUACUCCUUAAAUAGAACAUGGUGCUAUUUGUUUAAACUUUUUUUUGAAUAAAAUGUGUAAUUUUUUAUAUUUGGUAGAUCUUAACAUGGCGAUUGGUAUGAUUUUUUUUCUUUUGUUCUUGCGGUGUAAUUCCAUUCUUCUUUUUGCGAGUUUUUCGCUUUAUAUCAAAUCAGGUAUGAUUAUUUUUCCCUUCAUUUAUUUAUUUGGUAGCAUGUUAUGAAAAAAAUUAUGUAUUGUUUAUCCUUUUUAGUUUUGUUAUUAGUUCACUUCAUUUGAUGUUAACUAUUAAUAAAUUUGACUAUUAUUGCAUCAAAAUUCAAACUUUUAUUUUUAUUGUACUUUCUUUUAAGUUUUUAUUGAAAUGAUGUAAAAUUAUUGUGUUUGUUUCUAUUACCAUAUUGUCUUUUUAUGCAAUUGAAGUCUUUUAUGAUAAAUAGUCAAUGCUGUUAUGAAGUUCACAUAUUGAUUUGGCUCAAUUUUGGUUUACUUCGUUUGAUGGUUUAUUAGUUAGUUUUUUUUUUUUUCUCUUGAUAGCUUGAAUGAUUGGAUCAUAGAUGAGAAUUAGGCGUUCAUUUACCGAAUAAAUUCAAAAUAAAAAAAACACAUUAUCAAACAAUCACAAAAUAUACUUUGCUGUUUAUGAUUCUUGAGGGUUUAGAAUUUAUUUUUCAGCACUUUAUACACACCAGCAACUUAUUUAUGAUAUAAUUAUUUUGCAAAUUUAUUGUUAUUUUAUUAUUACUGAUCCUAUAAGGUUUAUAUUUAAAACCUAAAGAUAGUAUAUAUUUAGAUUUCUUGGUAUGAUUUUUCUUCGUACUUAUUUAUUUGUCAUUAUGUAAAAUAUCGCUGCCCUUUUCAACAACAUUAUACUGUGUCCUCCACUGAACAUCAGGAGGAAAAAUUGAGUGUAAAGUAACAUUUAUUGGUUUAUUAAUCUUUGCUACAAUUGCUUUAUCCGAUUUGUUCCAUGUUUUUUUCUUUUCAUUUUCUCAUUUCAAUUCUAAUAUUCUGAUGUUACUUAUUAUAAAAAAAAAAUCAUUUUAAUACUCACUUGAGGAAGUUCUACUCUUAAACAAGUUUGAAGAGAUAUCUUAAUACUUUCCUUCCUAUUUACUCUAACACGCAAUCAAAACUCUUUUUAUGACUUCAACGUAAAUAGUAUAGCAUGCUUAGAUUGAUUUCCUUUUCUAAGCCAACUUCCAAAGUAUUUGGUCCAUACAAAAAUACAAUUUAAGAAUACAAAUUAUAACUCAAGCAACUACAACCAUGAACACAUUCAUCAUUGGUUUUUUUUUACAUGCUUUAGGCAUUCUUUCUACCCACAUUUAAAACUUGCUUAAUUACUAUUUAUCAAUAUGCUUAUUGACAUAUUCUACAUCACCUUCAUAUACAUAUUGAACCCUUGUUUGACUGCAACAAAGGAUAUUAAUGCAUGUUUAAUUAUUUUGAUAAAAGAACAAUAUUAAUACAUGUUUAUGGCUGCAAGUGAAAAUUAAAACAUCUCUUUUAAGAUUUGUUUUAAAACCCAAGUUCUUACUCUAAUUUUGUUAAAAUAAGUCCCUCCGCAACCUGAUAAAGAAGAAAGUUUGUUUCAAGUUGCAGAGCUCUCAAUUUAUCUAUGAAUUAGGUUGAUCUAAAAUCUUCAAGUUUUUUCUAUGGGUAAAGAUAAAAUGGAGAAAAAGACAUGAAAACUACUGAUUGAGAUUUAUGGCAAGAUCUUUCUGGCUGUGAAAAAUGGAGGGCAAAAGACAAAUUGCAUUGAGAGGUGAAGUUGUUUGCUUGUGGCCAUUGAAUUUGAUCAACAAUGUGAGAUACCAUUUUCCAAGUGCGAAUGGAGACAUCCGAAUCUCAUCUACAAACUACAAUGGGGUUAAUAAAUUUCCUUUCCUUACCUUCUUGGCCAGUGGCCAUCCACGUGCCUUUCCCCAUGCACGAGGCUUCUGUCUUCUAGGCAUUGCAGCCAUAAACCCAAAACAAACAAGGGACAAUAUUUUAUACAGUGAAAACCAGCAUCUAGUGGUUUCCAUUUGUUUACAAUAUAUCUAUCUGAUUCCACCUUACAUUACCACUAAUAGAGAAAGGAAAAUUCUUAAAUUUCGAAAACAGGAUUGUGGAGUCCAAAAUUUCAGUAAAACAUACUUAUAUCUAUGCCCUGCAUGCAUGUGGAUUUUGAUUUGAAAAUUCCCAGAAUAUGACAAAAUUAGAGGUUAUAUUUAACAGCUAAUUAACUUUUGGCCUUAUCCUCGAGCAGACUAUAUCAUGUAUGAGAAAUGGUUGCAGUUAAAUCACAAAGAAAUUUCAUAUUUCUUAAGUUGAGACAUUGUUUUAAACAUAUAAGUAUAGUAAAAUCACUAUACUUAUUGGUAUAAAUUGGACACUCAAUCACUUUUCAAAAAAUAAAAUAAAAUUGGACACUCAAUCUUAAAAAUUCAUCAUAAUAUUAUAUUAACCUUGCUCUUUCCAUCUGUUAAGAUAAUUAUUAUUAUACAAUACUAUUAUUUGGUUAAGAGUUAUACUGUUAAUUACUUAGAGUUAGAUUAUGAAUAAAAUAAUAGCUUUUUAUAUCUAUAUACGAAUGUCAUCGAUUUUACAUUAGUAAGGAAUGAGAUGGAUUUUGAAUAUAUAAAUAUGAAUCUUUCACUAGUGUUUUAAGUUAAGAACGUGAUCUCGUGACAUUAAAUUUUAAUAUCAACAUUUUAUUUCUUUCAAAAUUAUUAUAUAUUUUUAUAACUUUCAUAUAUAUGAAUAUUCAUUAUAUAUAUAUAUAUAUAUAUAUAUAUAUUGUAUUUCUCCAUAUUCAAUAUACAUAUUUAUAUACCGAAAUAGAAGAUCUUCUUGCAUUUUCUUUCUAAAUAAUCCGUUUGAAAGUUAUAUUUUCACAACACAAAAAUUUAUAUUAUAGUAAUUUUAUGCAGACAUAAAUAACAACCUUAGAAAUGUGUUUAUAACAGAAGUUAUCCAACGUGCAAGCAGUGAUGCUUAAUAUGGUUGAAUUGGAGAGGAGUAAGUAUUGCAGAGCACAAGUAGGCGGUGGAAAAGAACAUGCCUGCUGUCCCAUCAAAUCUCAUUAAUUAUUAUUAUUAUUAUUAUUAUUGUUUAUAGCAAAACAAAAACCUCCCAACCCUUCUAUACAUACAACAAUAGAUUGACCAUAUUUGCCCUAAGAGACAUAAAUGCUUUUGUUUCGGUAUUUGAUCUAUUCUCUCUCAGCAUCCGUGAGUUUCUCAUCCAAAACUACUACUCUUCUUUUCUUGUUUGUUUACUAUUUCCAUAACAAUGUUUUUCUCAUGAGAUAAUUCGUUUCAAACAAGGGACCAACCGAAUCCUUUCAUUUAGUAUGGAGCAUUUUAAUUUGUAAUUAUUAUUUCAUUUCCUAUUAUGACACGAUUUGAUAAGGAAACACAUACGUAUUCAAAUAUAUAUAGGUUGACGAGGUGGUAGCAGGGGAAGCAAAGGCAAAUUAGGCAGAGGCAGAGAUAAUGGCAAUUACGUGCCCAAGACGUAGGGACUGCUGGGAGUGGGCGAGAGUGUACAUAAACUACUGUAUUUGCAGCGCAAGAGAUGAAGGGUCUUUUGCUUUGGGUUUGAUCAGUGUCAUAAGUUGGAGCGUUGCUGAAAUCCCUCAGAUUAUCACCAACUAUAAGGAGAAAUCCAUUGAGGGCCUCUCUCUCGGUUUUUUGAUCACUUGGAUUGUUGGGUGAGUAUUUCUUCUAUUCUAUCACCACCUUUUCUUACUUCCAUAUUGUUUACCAAAAGGACUUUAUCACCAUUCUACUUGCAGGGAUCUUUUCAAUCUUUUCGGUUGUAUUCUUGAACCGGCUACUGUAAGUGUUUGGCUUGUUUCCCGUAUAUAUAUAUAUAUGGUGAUUUUUACCUGUUUUGGGUUUGUUUUUGUUCCUUGUGUUAGUUUGAUAGCUGAAUCUAAUUUGUUAUCCUUUUCAUUGUGCUGCUCAGUCAAAUUGCAUUGUUACUUUCUGUUAUGUCACUUCCUUUCUUUUGCAUUAUUGUUAUGGUAUAAUGUGCCUAUAAGCAGGUUCAAUGACGGUCUCCUUUUUCUUCACAUUAUUGUUAUUGUCAUCCAAUUGAAUCUUACUUUUUGCGAUUUGCUUUUUCGCUUCCUGAAAAGUAAAAGCUUAUAUUUAAUUAUGAAUGAACAAUGGUUGAGAUGUAAUAUUUCAUAUAACAAAAUUAAUUGAUAUUCGUACUUAUUUCUUGCUGGCUCUCAAAAGUGAAAAUCAAGCAACAACAAUACCUAUGCAGCCUAACUUUUUUGGCUUGGGCCUUUUGCUGCAUUCAACCUAAGUUUCAAAUACAUAAGGAGAUCUUUCAGUUCAUUUUGUAAUCAUAAGCUUAUUUCAUUUUUGUUGUAGAUGAUGGAUGAAAACACUUUUAACUGUUUGGUUUAUGCUGAAGGUAGUGAACAACUGAACCAAAAAUGCACUAAUAAAUUAAAAGCACUUGUAACUUUUUUUUUUCUUUUCUUAUUUCCUUGCUUUGUCUCAGAGGUUGUUUGAGAUAACUAUAGUCAUCUGAGUUUCUUGACACAUUUGACAUUGAUAAUAUACCUACUCAUUCUUUUACUCAUGUCCUUAUAUGGUUUAUUUUUCUUAUUUUAAAAGUUUUAAACUUGUUUCCAUAUCAGACAGGUGCAACUUUUUUGCUUUCCAGUGUAAAAACAUGCAUCUAUUCAUUGCUAAAAGACAUUUCACAUUCGGAGAGCAUGAUUUUUUUGUUAGGGACACUUUAUCCUCUUGCUUUAAAAAAUAUUAAGAAUAAAUUCUCGUGGAGCUCUAGUCUAGUUUGAAAGAAAAAAUUAUUUUGAUUUUCUAUAGGGAGUAUUGUUGCAGCCAGUGUACUGAAACUUUGUUGCUUUUCUUUGCAGCUUCCGACACAAUUCUAUAUGGCAGUAGUAAGAAUAUGCUAAACCCAAAAUGUUGUUAGUCUAGUCAAUUCUUAAUUAACUAUAUUGUUCUAAUUCUCAACUAUUGAUUUACAUGACCUUCUUGCUAUGAUGUCAAAGCACAGUUGUAUACAAUGACUACAUCAAUUCUUGCGGCACAGACUGUAUACUAUGGUCACAUUUAUCCUCGAUUAAAGUACAAAAGAGUGUGCCACAAGGUAAGAACUUAAACUACAUUUCUCUUGGCAAAGUUUAUGAAACAAUUUUGCACAUUACAAAUUCGUCUCUCCUCAGAGUCAAAUUACAUAACACAAUGGUCAAGUUAAAGCUCUGCACUCCCGAAACUGCUGAACCUAAUGGAAUAAAAAAACAGACUAUUUUGUUAAAACGUGAGCAGCAGAGAAAAAUGUUUAGUUUUUCAUUAAACCAAAACUAGCUUGUAUGGUAUUUUUUGUUGUAUAUUUAAAUGAUAUAAAUCUUUUUAUUGGAUUUAACUAAAAGGUCAAAAACAAAAAAAAAGAAUUGGGGAAGAAGAUGCUAAUCAAUUGUGUUUUUCAUGUAACUUCAGAAGAGCAUAUGGUAUCUUAUGGACUUAUGUGUAUUGUUAUGAUCAUGCAAGUACAUGAAAAGAUACUUGGUUGUCUUCAUAAGGAUUUUGCAAACUUGAUUUCUCAAAAAUUUGAUUUCAGUUGAGCUGUAGUUUGAACAAUUAGAUGUAGAAUUGGUUCUGUCUGGUCUUAAUAAAAUAGAUUUGAUUGCUUUACCAAGUGCAUGGAAGCCCAUGCUCAAGGAAGUGUAAAGGGAAUAAAUGUAAAUAAUCUACUUAACCUUUUGUAUUAGAAUAAACUUUAUGCAUGGUUUGGUGGUCAAUUUUUAACUGGUCCAAAUAUUUUAGUUUGUAGCUUGUUCAGCUUUACUUUUGGAAAACGUAUUACUGCAAUAGAUAUGAAUUUUCAGUGUUUGAGGUGUUUUUGCAUGAGUUUAAAAGAACUCCUGAUUUGCAAUAAUCUUAUUAAGAAGUUGAUCAUUGCUAACAGUUGUUUCAUGUGUAAGAACAACAUUGAAUCAAUAGAUCAUCUUUUACCUAAUUGUACAAUAGCUUAAAAAUUAUAGUCUCCAGUUUUUGCUUUAUUCAUAGUGGCUUGCCACUUGGGCGAUUCCAGAUAUAGUGGUUGAUUUAUUGCAUGCUUGGAAAAUGAGUUUCGGAAAACGCACAUAUUGGGAAGGCUGGAGAUUUUAGUGUCAUUAGCUCUGAUGUGAAGAAAUAAAGCUUGAAAUGCAGAAGUUGGAAUUGCAUUUCUAGGAUAUUAACUUAUUUUCACUGACAUUCUAUUUGGACAUUCAAGAUGUAUUUAAUCUUUCUUUCUAAUUUCUUGUUUGAUUGUUGCUGCUUUUGCAUUUAGUAUGUUCCAUUUUUCUGUUAAUAAAUUCUAAGCAUACCAGGAAAAAACUUUCAAAUUAUUGUGGUAGGAGGUCUUAAGUUGAGAGAUCAAGUCUAUGUAACUUUUUAUGUACCUGAUAUGUGAUCAUGGAACAAUCUCAAAGAAUCUAACGAUGAUAUGCUAUGGAAUCUUCGUGAUCUUCGCUCUGUUCUUUUCUCCAUACUUGUAUUUAGUUUCCCAGUAGUGGAAGGAAACAUAAGUAUAACAUUCUGAAAGCAUUGCAGGAGUAUUAAACAUCUUCAUUGGUUUUUGAUGGUUGCAUUUUUUUCUAUGAAGGUUUUUAUUUUGUUUUCAUAGAUGUAUUAUGCUUCAAAAUUCCACAAUUCACUGUGUUUCAUAUAUAGGACUCCAAAGAGCACCAACCUGAGGCUGUGGAAAAAGUUAUUGAUGCUGACAGAUUAAGUUCUCCUAUUCCUCUUCCAGCAAUUAAUGUAAAGAGUUCUCCGGGCAGAGAAUUAUACUACAUGUAAUUCAAUAUUCACCUUAAAGUUCUCACAUUUGCACUAUUUUGCUUGAAUUUUUGGACUUAAUACCUCAACAACCUUUGUACAUGAGAAACGCAGACAAUAUGAUUCAUUUUCCUUUUUUUUUUUAGUUUGCAUCUGGAUUCUGUUAUUUUUUUGGAAUAUUUAGGUUCACUGAACUUAGAAUUGGUUCUGCCAUCCAAGUUAAAAGAUCAAAUUUCAAUAUAUGCCUCCUGGAUUGUCAUUUAGUUAAGCAUAUGUAACAGACUUAGAAUUGGUUUACCCAUUUCCCAGCCUACGUGUACACUUGCAAAUACAUAUACUAUUUAAAUUCUCUUCAUUCCAUUAUAUUUGACUGUAUGUCACUUUUUGGAUGUUCAACAAAAUUUUGGGACAUUUAGGAAGAAAAAGUAACUGAUAGAGGCAUGAUGCAGACACAAAGAUAAACUUAGAGCGAGUUUUCUCAUACUUUUUCAGAUCCUGAAAGAAGGUUAGAAACCUAGUUUUCUGUGACUAGUACGACAUGUAAUGAAUCAAACUACUUCAAGGUAUAUGUCACAUUGAAAGAUAGAGGUCACAGAAAACCUUCUGCAUAUUUUGAUAUGCCCAAUGAUGCAUAUAGUGAUGAUCUAAUAGUUUCAGUUUGUUUUUAUAUAUAUAUUAUGUUAGGUCAGCUAGAUCUCUAUCAAGAAGUCAUACUCCCACAGCAGGAUCCUUCCUCGUACAAAGAAUGACUCCUCCUUCUCAUACAAGAAGUUCAGUUGAAGAGCCAUUGCUCAGUGCACAUGUUUCUGCCCAGUCUGCCUCUCCUCCAAGCUCCAAAUCAUUGUUAUGCUUGGUGACUAUUAAUUAACUUGAAGAACUAGCGUCCUAUUCUAGUCUAAAAAGAAUGUACUAUAUGAAUUAACUUUUCUCUGUUUCAGGUAUCUGUAUUAAUGUUCAUUGCCACAUUUAAUUCCCAGCUCUCAGCAUUUAAUAAACUUCACAUAGAGCAUAAGAUAGUAAAUCAAGGAUUCGUGAUACAAAUUGGAAGAAAGCUUCUCCAGGUAGUUCAACCUGCAAUUAGUUUCCUCUAUACUCGCAUAAUCAUUUGCUGGAACAGCACAUUUAUAUGUAUAGCCUGAUAUUAAAGCAUUAUAGAGUUUCUCCUAGGCCUCCUCUAUCCAACAUGUUUGUUAACCCUAAGUUAUUUAUUUUUUUAUUGGCAUUACCUAUUUUAUUUGACUUCCUGUUGUAGCAUGUCAAAAAUUUGGAAUUCAUCUCUGUUGUGGAUAAGCAUGUAAAUUGGAUGCCACCAUGUUUUAGGGAAUGCGAAAGCUCUUGCAUGCCUAUUGGCUCCAUAGCUCUUAUUCUUUAUGCCCUUUUGUUCAACUAGAUUGAACUCAUUGUGAUAUUUUAAAUCAAACUUUGCUCAAGAGGAAUAGGUGUCACUAACCAUUUACUGGGAUUUCAGGUAAAUGCUGCGUCAUUAGGAGAAAGUGGUAUUGGAGGAGGCAGCAGGGUUGGAACUUUUCUUGGUUGGGCAAUGGCAACUAUUUACAUGGGUGGACGCCUUCCCCAAAUUUGCUUAAAUGUAAGUUUUGCAGGAACCAAAUGAGUAGUGUGUUUUAACUGUUUCACAUAAAAAGAUGAAAGUGUUUAAAUGCUAUAUGUUCUUCUAUUUUGACUUGAUUGCUCAUGUCCCCUUGAACUUUCAAUUUUAAAUUUCUAAUCCUUCAACUUCUUAGUAACUAUAGUGUUAGACUGAACUUCUAUUAGAUGUGUAUAAGUAUGGUUCUUAUACAUUGGUAACUUGGGGCAAGCUAGCAUCAUAUGUAAGACUUCCCCUCCUUGCCAGACCAAGUAGAAUAAGCACAGUUCCUCCACUUACUACCUGCUGAUCCUAAAAUGAAAUAUAGCAAAGGAUAUCAGGAUUAGAAUUCUAGGGCUUUAGAUAAAACAGGAUCUAAUAGCAUGAUACUCAACCAUUAGACCUAAAUGCUUAAGCUAGUAGAUUGGGGCCAAACUAAUAUUAUGUCUGUUAUAGUAUUAAACUCUCUUUCUAGUUGUCACAAGUUUUGUGAUACAAUGUGAUUUUUUCACAAAGCAUGUGUUUAACAAAAGAAUUAUUAUACUUUUGACUGGUGAAGGAAGGAUUGCCUUGGUAUCUAUUCUUUAUAUGUCCAAAAUCAUGAAAUUCUUUGGCAACAUUUAGUUUUAAGCUGACAACUUGAAUAUCAAGUAUUUGAGUUGAACUUAAUGUAGUUUUCCUGUUCAACUUUGCAGAUUAGAAGAGGCAAUGUAGAGGUAAGCACAUUCAUUAAUAUUUUAGUUCUCAAUACCCACAUGCAAGCAAGGACACACACACAAAAUUUGGUGCCGUGUGCUGCUCCUUUUUGUUUAUAAAACUUUUUGAAUCACUGGAAUAAGCAUGUAGCAUAUUUAGAGCUUGUUUUUUCUGAUUGGGAUUAGAGGAAAAAGUAUUCUCUGAAGUGGAGCUUAUUGAAAAGUGCUUUGGAAUUAUAAUUAUUUGAAAGAAUUAAUAAUAUCUUUUUGAGCUCAAAAACUUCGUUUAAUACCUCUGUCAAUUGUUAAUGCAGCCUUUUCUUCCCGUAAAACUGCAAAUUGGAGCUUGAACAUUUAGUCUUGAGAGCUUAUUUUCAGCUUUUAGAAAAGUUAAAAGACUUUUGUCAAAUGCUGCUUAACUAUACGAAAUAAAACAGAAAAAUGCUUUUGUAGCUAGUCAUAUAGGCAUGACACUUAAUAUAUAGGUCUUUAUCAUUGACACCAAAAUGAGAGAAAUGAGAAAGAGAGGGAGGAAGGCUGGGAGGGGACAUGUUGUAUUUAUAUCAAUUUAUAUGCAGGGGCUGAAUCUUGUAUGGCUUGUCCGUGUAUGCAGGGUCUGAACCCUUUUAUGUUUAUGUUUGCUUUGGUUGGAAACUCCACAUAUGUUGCUAGGUAAAUUUGGUCAACUCAUCAUUGAUAUUUGGCUUCACUUUGAGUCAUAUUUAUCACUUUAUUGAGUGUGGUUUGUACUUGAACCAUUUCUCAGCUACCGAAUGGUGCAUUUUGGUUCCACUGUUUUUGUUACCUUUCCUUUAUUUGUUUCCCUGUAGCAUACUUGUCGAGAGCACGGAUUGGUCAAGAAUCAGACCAAAUUUACCGUGGCUGGUGGAUGCAGCAGGAUGCGUGCUGCUUGAUACUUUUGUAUCCUUAUUAAGGAUGGUUCUGAUAUGAUACUUUUUAAUUUUAAUAAUGGAAGUGUUAUUUAGAAUCACAAACCCUGGGAUGUUUUUUUUUUUAUGUUCAGUAGCACUUUUUUAUUUUUAUGGUGUCCCUUAUGUUGCCCACUGUUUCUCCUUAUUAUCAUUAAUUGAGUUGCUACAGUCACCUGAAAAAAUUUCAUAUUCUUUGUAGAACCUUAGUGCAUUUUGCAGAUACUGAUUCAGUUCAUAUACUUCUGCUAUUGGGCACCUCAAGAUGCAGAGAAUAAGCAUGAAAACUUGAAUGCAUCGUAAAUGAUGGCAAAAUAGCCUUUUGUUGAAGGUUCUCUCUUUCUCUCUCUCUCGUGUCAGUUUUUGUUCAUAUGUGUGCAUGCGUCUGUUUAAGGGUCUAGGUAGUAUUUAUAGUUAAUAUAAAUUUGAAUGCUUUAGAUGAUUAGUGGGCUUUACUAGUAACUUCCUUGAUGCUCUUCAUGCCAUAAUGUUGAAUUCUCAAUUUGCUUACACAGUUAUCCUACAUGAACAAUGGUUUUACCUUUUUUUUUUUUCUUUUUCUAAUUAGGAAUAAGAGGUGAUUUUAACUGAAAUUAUAGUUUGGGAGAUAAAAUGUGGUUAUUAUUAGGCUAUUGCCUCAGCCACAAAGGUGUUUUUAUUCCCUCAGAUAGGAGAAAAUGCUGGAGAAAUUUAUUUAUUUAUUAACUUACUUUUAUUUCCUUUCUUUAGUUAUAUAUACUUACUAGUUUCUUCUAUGUUCUUGGGGAAAUAAAAAAAGGAGUCUUUUAUUCUUUGGUCAUUCUUGUCAAGAUCACAGACAACUUGCAUUUUUUAACUCAUUAAUAGUAGGUAGUUUGUACAUAUACAUAUUUGUAUAUAAUCUGAUCCUAGUCAGAUAUCUAUGAAAAUGUCUACAUGAGAAGAGAAUGGGCCUCAGAGAAGUAAACUUCUAUGGUCUGUGUGAUUGAGCAAGCUUGCAAGCUUUAACUGUGUUACAAUUUUAAGGUGACAAGUGGCAGACACAGACCAUAGAAGUUUCAACGCCACAUUAUGUGUACUGAUUGCCCAUACUAGUUCUUUUGCUGUACGAAGAAUGAAAGCUAUUUAUUUUUUUAUUGGUGAAGGUCAAGAGGAAAGGAAUUUGUUAUUAUCCCAAUUCCACAUUAUGUUUAGGAAGCAGACAAAUACCAAAUCGUAUUUUAGACUGUAUUUAAGUGCAGUUAUAGGUUUUAUAUAUGGAACUUCUGUUGUUUUCUCUCCAUGAUGAAAAUCUCUUCAGUUUCUCUAGCAAUGUCUAAUGACACAUCUGCUAGACCACAGAUUCUUUUACCUUCCCUGAUCUUGUCUAACAAUCUUUUGCCUUCUAACACAUUGGUGUCAUGAUCAUUUGCUGCUUGCUUCUUAACUAAAGGCAUAGCCUGAUACCAAUUUGCAGGAUUAUAUCACAGAUUUAAGCUAUCAAGUAGCAAAUACAUGUAUGCUAUAUUGGGGAACAUAUAUUUAGGAUUAAAUUGGAUUUGGUUACUUAUAGUAAGAUGUGGGCAUGAUAUAUGUAAAAGUAGAAAACAUUCAACAUAGACAUAAAUUUGAGAAAGCAUAGCAAGAUGAAUUUAAAAUUCACUAAUUUCAUUUAGGGAUUUGAAAUUCACUACUAAGUAGAAACCUAAUAAAUUCAUGCAUUUUAAUUUAAUCACAAUAGUCAUGUUUUAUAAGUUCUAACUUCUAAUUGUGUAAUUUAAACCAUAUUUGAAAUAAAAAUCCCUCCUUUGAAAUUCAAGUUCUAAACGUUACCAUAAUGUGUUAUCUUAAAAUAAUUUGCUCUGUUAGACUAAAUACAGAUAUAAACCGUCAAGUAGAAAACACAUAAUCGUGUUAGCUUAGAAUGGUUUGCUUUAUGCUAUGAAAUCACUGAUUUAAACCAUUUGGUAGCAAAUAGAUGCCAAUCUUAGAAUGGUUUGCAAUAUUCCUGUAUCCACAAGUUUUGAUAAAAACAAAUCUAUGAAAAUCAAUAUUCAAAAGGUCUUCGCUACAUCUUUGCAUUUUAUAGUUUCGUGUUGGCGUUUACAUCAUAUGAAUCUAUCACCUUGAAAAGUAAUUUGAAAUGCAAAUGCGGGAUAAACUAUUUUGUUGGCAUCAUACUAGUGGUUGGAAUAAGUUGGUACUGGUAAUAUGAUGAGUUCCUUUAGUCUAGAUGCCAUUCACAUAUUUUAUGACGGCUAGAGGUGAGGAUGGCAGAUUAGGCUUUCUUUCUUUGUCUUUUUGGAAGAUUUUUUUUCAUUCAUUUAUUCAAGUUUUGGCAUUAAGUGGGCAUUCAAUUAGAGCCAUUGUACCAUGUAAAACCCAAACAUGAGAGCUUAUCAUCAUAGUUACUAUGACUACUUUUGGUUGCGUCUAAACUCUUAAGUCUGCCAUAUUGAUAGUAAUUGUGCUAGGUGUACAUUCAUUGUGUUGCUUUAUAUACGUGUCUUGACAUUUUACAAAAACUGUUUGAGAUAAUCUUUGUGGUACAUGUACACAUUGAGAAGUAUGUGUCCUGAUAUUUUGUACUGUGCCCACUAGUUUCGCAAUGUAUCCUGAAUACUGUGAACAAGUAGGGACUAAUAAUUUGCUAGGAAAGGCAGCUGAUUUUUUCAUAAUUUCAAGGUUAUGCACAAAUUUGUUUAUCCAGAUUGCUCGUCUCCUUGUUAUCUGCUCGAGUUUACUUUUAUUGAUCAUUGCUUGCCAGGGAUUCUUUUCCAAUUGGAAUAAAGGUUUGAAGAUGCUUUCGCGGAGCUGGAGGAUAUGUAGAUGACGUGUGUUAUUUCUUUUAUAUGGGUGAUAAGUCUUCUUAGUAGCAGCCUUUUCCAAAGAUCAACCAAACUAAUGCCCAGCCUUACCUGAUUAAACAGUGCUAAAUCUUGGAUUUGUUCAGUCAGUGGAGAGGGAUGAUAGUUGCUUUUGAUGGUUUGAUGUAUCUUGGCAAAAUUUCUGUAACCUCUGUUACUGCAUUUUUGCCUUCCUUUACCCAGUCAUAAUUUUGCUUUUAACUCUCUCCUAGUUGAUCAAAGAGUCCAACUUAUCUUUCACAUCUACUCUCUAUUCCUCAAGGCAGUAGCUUUAAAUACCUUUUAUAGUAAUCCUGUGCAAUUUAAACUUUCAAGUCUAAAAGCCUGCAAAGACUCCAAAUGAAACUGAGAAAGGAGAGAUGGCAAUUCAGAUUCUGUUUAAGCUUCUCUUUCGGUUUUUGAAACCGGAACAAAAUAAUUGAUGCCUAACCAUUACAUUGCUCCUUUCUGGUUUUGUAGCACAUAGGGAGUCUGUUGUUUUCUUAUCACAAAAACUGGCUAAUGAAUAUUUUGGCCUGUCUCAAUCUCAUCUAGCUCAAAAGAUGAAACAAACUUCAAUUUGAUCGAACAAUCAGAUAUUGUACAUUAUAUCACAUGCUUUAGACCACAGCCAUUUGAAAGGAUCAGAAAUGGUAUAUUUACAAUAUACUGUACAAAAGGCUAGUGACUACACCGAAAGAUGCCUCUCAGCUGCUUGAAGAAUUGGAAGCCUUACCCUUGGAGAUGGAGCUGAAGCCUGAGCAGAUCCAUAAGAUCGCUGAGGGCAAAAUACAAUGUACAUAACUUGAUUAGGAUCAGCUUGUAGAUGAUAAAGAUGCUGCCCGGCCGCAUAGCCUCCAAGGAGAAGGUAUGACCUCUCUGACUGCUCCAUUGUCACACAUAGAUCAUCACCACCUGGUUUGCUAAGUAUUAUUAGGAAUUUAUUGUGUCAAAUUAAGUAAAUGACUAUCAUUGGGACGAGGUUCUGUUAAAUGCGGUGACUUGUAAAUAUUUGGGUGGUGUGAAUGCUGGCUUUCAAGUUGCAAUAAGGUAUGGUAAGAUGAAGCUGCUGGUGCAGAGUCCAAGCAAUCAUUUAGGUUCAAACAAAACAAACCCAGACUGGCUAGACUCUGCUAUGGUGGUUGACGAUGUAGAAUCGGUUGGCAUCAUUAUGUAAAGUUGCUUCCGUCUCACAUGCUUAUUGUCAUGCUAAUUUUGUAGCUCAUAACAUAGCUAGGAUAAGUUCUGACUUCAAUCUGAGGUAGUAUGGGUUGAUUCUUCUGCCUGAGGGCGUCUUUCGUGAUGUACUUGAUUAUUAUUAUUUGAAACGAAGUGUUGUCAUUUUCAUCUCAAGGAAACAAGAAAGUAAGGAAAAGAUGAAAACAAGAGAACUUACAGGCAGCCAGCUCAAUUUGAGUGUUAUAAAUGAAGUCGAGAACCGCAGCAAUGUCUUGCUCAAAGUCAUAGAAUGGUCCACUCUCGAAAUUCAUCUUCCUAAGUUUACACAGUCCUUCUCCCAACUCCAUCAUCGCUCCCCUGUGGUUCUGCAUAAGAUUUUCAUUAGAAUAUAUGUAUAUAUGAAUCAAGACAGCAACGUUAUUUCAGUCUCAACCUGGUUAAAAAGGUGGUGGAAUCCGACAGCACAUUGUAGAAUGCCAUGAAUGAGGGUUCUGGUGGGAUCCUCGGCAUUGUUCCACAAGUCCUCAAGCAGGUCAUGGCACUUAUAGUAUUCCCUUUGGUUGAAAAGGGAAACUGCCUCGUCAAAGCUACAAUUCUCGUCGUCUUUGCUAUCUGCGCUGCUGGAGUAUCGAUACGAGACGCCCAAAGACUCUGACCUCCUGUGGCCUUUGGAAUGAGCACAGGUUCGAAUCGGAGAUGGAGAUAGGGGAAGAGAAGGAAAGAAUUUGGGGUUAUAGUUAUGGAAAUGAAGGGGGCAAGGAGGAGUUGAGUGUCGAGGAGAAUACAAUGGGGAGCAGUAUGGCAGUUUGAAGGCAAGUGCCAUUUUCUCCUGGUGAAGAGGAGAUUGAAUGAGAGCCUUUCCCUUCUGGGCUCUGCCCUCUGGGUAGAAUGAUUUUUAUGUUUUAUUUUGUUCUGGUGUGUGGUGGUGGCAGUGCGGGAGAAUUUCCCUUUAAAAAAUAUCUUGGGAGGAAAACAGAAGGAAAGAAUUGUUAGACCAUCUCACUUUUUAAGGAUUACUAGAAAGAGCUCCGCGCGUUGUGCUCGGGCGGCACAGUUGCGGAUAUGGAGCUUGUUUUUUUAACUAAAAGAAAUGUCUAAAAAUUGUUACAAUAUUGCUCCAAAAUGCUCACAUACAAAAUGAAAAUUCAGUCAGCUAUACUGAAAGAAGUCCCAAAAACAGACCAAACAAGAGAAUCAAACAGUAAAGAAGAAAGAUGCAAUCAUGAAAUAUCGCUAGCAAUUAGAUCGAAUCCAAUGAUCUUGCAUUCAUAUCCGGUGUUCAACAAAAUGAAGGGUAAUAAUAUCACUAUUUAUCAUUCUAUACGUCCAUUCUCAUCUUAUUUACAAGAUACAUGAUUUUUUUAAGAGAAUUGUUUUCAUUCUUCAAAUAUAAGGUGUUUUUGAAAAUAGUUCUCUGUAUAAUUUUGAUUGUUUUUAGUCAAAGGAUAAAAUUUUUUGAUAAAAAUACUCUUAAAUGAAACUUUCUCAAUUAUGCGCAUUUCAUACACGUGCAGAUAAGUGAAAAAAAUUAGAUAUGAUCAGAAUUUGAUGAAAGACAAUUUAUUAAAAGUAAAACUUUCCUCUUGUUGCAGGAUAUGAUAAUGAUUUUCUCUUAUUUAUUAUACAUUGUCGUAGCCAAAAACGAUUAGUGUGUUUUGAAGAAGAUUUAAGUUUUCAAAAUCUUCUUUUUUGAUUAGUGUGUUUUGGAAUUUUUUAAAUUUUGUUUUUCUUCAGGUUUUCCUAUGGAGAGGUUUGGUUUUUCAGAAUCUUUCUCCUUGGAUUUGUUUGUUGGAACUAUGAAAACUUUAUUAUCUUCUUCUUUGGACUUGUAGAUUUGUGAGAGUUUUGAAGACUUUGUUAUUCAAAAUCAUUUUCUUCCCCAAAUUUGUGUCAAAAUGCUAGCUUAGAGGCUUCCAUGUGAAUUUAGUGUUUUAUGUUUUUAAUUUUAAAAUUAUUUUAAUUUAAUUAGACAUAAAAUGUGAUGUGACUCAAAUAAUCUUUUGAUUGGCCAAACUCAAGUGUUUGAAAUUUAGUUGACCAAAUUUUAAUUCAAUCUCUGAACUAUCUUACUUUAUUUAAAAAUAAAUUAGACGGCCAAACUUGAAUUUAUCUUUAAAUUAUAUCGAUUUAUUUAAAAAUAAAAUAAAUGACAAAUGAAUUUUAAUUGAUUCAACCUUGUAUCUUUGAGAUAAUUAAUCAAGAAAUUAAUUAUUUUACAAUUAAUUAUACGGCUAGCUUAAAUGGUGUCAUUAAGUUCAUAUGACAAUACAUGAUUUAUUUUCAAGAAAUUUUUUUAAUUUAUUAAUUUCAAAAAACAUGUGAUAAUUUAUAAUUAAAUAAAAUAUUAUACGAAGAGCCAAUACGUUGAAAAAUUAACUAUUACAAUGUAAGAAUCAAAAGACUUAGUAAUCAAGUUAAAAAUAUUAAAAUAUUCGAAGAUCUAACUACUCAUAAAAAAAAAUAAAUACUCGGAUAAUUGUGUAAGAAAAUAGAGAGCAAGAGCCCUGGACCACAGCUCAAACUUAAGUAGGUAACCUGUGGAGGCUGGUUGACCAUGAAACGUCUUCCAGGUUGGCCUUCCAGUAGUCCUCCAAGUCCAACUCCAAAAUCCCAGCCAGGCUUAGCUCAAUAGUGUUCCAAAGUAAAAAUGACAAGAGGGAAGAGUUAGAACAGAAUUGUCCCUCUCACUCUCAAUAAAAACAUGCUCCUUUUUUUUUUAAUUAAAAAAAAAAUUCGAAUCUUACUCUUUAGAUAAAAAAUCAUGCACCAACCAAUGAAUCAAAUGUUCGAGAGUCAAUGAAGACAAGCUACUUGAAAGCUAGAAUAUUUGAUAGAAUCCAUAUGCUAUAUUAGUUGGAACCUCAUUGCCAUUUGAGAGUUCAGACGUCUAAUUUCUUACCAUGCACGGCUUUGAAGAUUUAUGAGCAAAAAUUAUGUAGCUUGGUGCUCAAGGUACAAUUGAUGUGGUGAGGUCAAAAAGUAUAUAUAGAAGCCUAAUGUAAAUGUUAUAGAAUAGUUUCUGUAUAUGGAUUUUAAACUUUUUUUCCAUUCACAAUUCAAGGAGCAAGAAAAAUAAGGGUGGCAUAUAUAUAUAUGUACAAAGCAUGAGGGGAAAAAAGCAGAUACUUGGGACUAUUCUAAGACUUGAUUCGGCCACAGACGUUUCCACAUUAAGAUCUCUUCUUCCUUGCAAAGCUUUCUUAUUCCACCAUAAAAUCCAUCAGCUUCAUUGCCUACUUCUCUAUGGUCUUUUCUGUUGAUUAUUGUUUUUCUCCAUCUCGAGCUAGCAGGGUACUGGUUGAACUCUAGUAUCACUGCAUCUGUCAACAAAGAUAAUGGUCAAAUCAACACAUUGUUUCUAGAAAAAACUUCUUAAAGAAAGAGUCGAAAGAAAGGUUUGAGGAUUUAUGCAUACUAAAAGGGUAGUUGAGAGCAGAGGCAUUUGCAAAUUUUACAACAAAGUUUACAUAAUUGAUGGCAGAUGUUUCAUGGGUGAACUAUUUUGCAACUUAGUUAACCAAGUGCUUCAUGAAAUUCUGAACUCAGGGAAGCACAUAUUAUGUUCCUGCAGUAACUACAGGUGUUAUUUUUAUCUUAAAAGUGUCAAGAAUGUUCCUUUUCUCACAAGGAUCCAGUUACAAGGGAUUUUGAGGGUUAUGACCUCUUAAGGAAUCGAGACUGAAAAAAAAAACAGGUGUUACUACAGAAGCAGGAUGCUUUUUUGUUUUAUUGUCACCAUUCAAGCAAGAUGAAAUUUAUUAGCACCAUAGUUCCCUGCCAAUAGCCUGUUAUGCAUGUUAGCACUCUGGCAUUUCCCUUCUCUCAGUGGAGAAUAAAAUGCUAAGAGGUGAGAAAACUCCAUUCCUACUCAAGAUGAAAACUGAUGAUAUCCAUCUGAAGAAAUGAAUAAAUGGCUGGUUUGAAGUUUGAAGAACAUGGCAUAGUGUAAUUUAAUUUAUACUGUAGUUUUUUUUUUUUUUAAUCUAAGAUUAUGAUUGAACUUAAUUUAUACUGUAGUUUAUUGGAGAAAACUCCUCAUUUCUUGUUAGACGAAAAUAAUGAAAAAUCGUAUUUGUUAGCUAUGAUCCGUAGUUUCAGGGCCACUGACAUCUUACAUCUACAAGGACAGAAAACAUACACAUUGAAAUCACAAUCACAACAAUAAACUAUGGUCCAAUGAGCCGUACUACUAUAAGUUAGCAACUUUGAUAUAUCUAUGGAGGCCUGCACUGCAUUAUCUUUCAAGUUUUUGAAAUGUAGUUCUUUUUAAUUGGCCUAGAAUGCUGCAAUCAAGACGACCCUAGUUCUGAGAAUUUUUCAUCCAGGCAAUGCAAGGCAGAACUGCCCUGCAUAUUUUGGUUUUAUAAGAAAAUUUUUAAGCUGGCUUACUUUGCUGUAAACUUUUUUCAGGAAAAAUAGAAAGUAAUUUGAAAGGCUUAAAUUGUUUUCUCACCUGUAUAUUGGCAACGGCAGUGAUUUUCAGCUCCAUCACAUGAUUCCAAGUGGCCGACGACACCAUACCACCACCCUGCAAGAAAUUAAGCUCCAACUGAGUAAAAAUUUAAUGUUAAGCACCAAGCAUUCAGAGCAAUCAAGGAUUUAAACUGUGGAUUGAGUUCACAUAGGAAAAUAACAUUUAUUGUUUUUCUCAAAGGUCAGACCUAAUGUGUGGAAACUCACCAUAGGGGAAUUCUUUAUUUCUUCUCCACUGGAUCUCAAUAUGAUCACCCGGUUUUAAGUCAGGUAUGCAAUCAGAAAUGUGAAGAACAUGUGAAGGUGUAUCAACUGGUGGUACUCUUAACCUAUCCCAGGAUAUAUACUCCUCUGUUGUUCGCUGCCCGUGAGGUGAGUACCUAAACUUCAAAAUACAGCUUGAGUAAGGAGCCACAUAGAAGCAUAUAAAAUCACUUUUUAACUCACUUGUUUUAACUCUUAGAUUGGGUUUGAAAUUCCUUUGAUUUUAGCAAAACAAGAUCAAUAGAGAAAGCGGAUUGAAUUUGAUGAAAGUUUGAAAGUUGAGUGCUCGCAAGUCAAAUGUUCAAAUUCAGAUGCUUGAAACUGUGGAUUAAAAGAGAAAUCACACUAUACCUUGCCUGGAAGGUGUCUGUCUUGGAAUCAUAGCAAAGUUUGGCAUCAUAACAUGAUAGCAUAAACCCAGCAUGUCCAUUCUACAACCCAUCACAAAAAAAGAAUUUUUCACUCAACUUUUUCUACAGCAAAAAUAGCAGUUCUGAUGAAUUUUAUAACCAGCAACAUAUAUGUGGUGAAGAAUCAAUGUGAAAAACAUAUGAUUUAGAACUGAAAUAAUUAUCUGCAGGCCAAUUACCUCACGAUUAUAGACCUGUGCCGGGAACCAGAAUUUUCCAGUUUCCAGAGAUAGAUACCAGGACAUCAUUGAAUCAUUUGGCAAAUCAGUUUUCCGCUGGCUACUACUGCCUUCUAAAUUUGGUGUAAACCAAGAGAAAGGCCACAUGUUUGUAAGAGAUCCCAGAAACCCCUUUUGCUUACUUGGACCUAAUAGGUUCGGUCUCUUUCUUGAAGCAAUAUGCCAUUGCCAUUCCCUAUGAGCAGCAUCGCCAAUCACUUUACCCCAUUUCUGCUUCAUGUGUUUCUCCCACAGAUGAUCGCUUGUACAUCUCUCCCUAAAGGAAGAGCAGACACCUGCCAUGCUACACAGUCCAGCUGGUGAAAGGCGCUCUAGAAUGCAUUCUAGAGUGAGUUCAGGCAAAUCCAGCAGAGAAAUCCUUUCUUCCUCCACAUUAUCCACCUUGGGACCAAGCCUCAUCUUCUUUCUCAAUGUCAAGAUCAUAGGAAGCUGAUAGAAACAGAUUCCAAGCCUACCCUUUUGGAACCAGGACACCAUAAAGCUUGAGAAUCCUUCCCAAAACCAUGGAGACAACAAUCUCCACUCGCCCUUCAUUCUUGGAUAUUGGUUCUUGAAAGACAAUGACUUGGAUAGAAGAAUAAAAGAGAAACAAGAUAUCAAGAAUAAAAGCAUUGGAUUGAAUGACACUCUUAAAUCUCAAGAAUUGCUGUGUUCAAGGCUCAAGCUGUGGUAUAUAAGAACAACAUAAAUAGACAUGAAAUGAAACUAUAUACCAUAUAUAUACCAUAAGGCUAUAAACAAAGCGAGUAUAUUAUGUAGGGGUUUAUGUUUAUAGAUUAUAAUAGGAAUAUUUUUAUGGUUGUGUUUUCACUUUGAUUAAAUUUUAUGAUAAAGAAAGAUGAACCAAUUAGAGGCAAAAUUGUGGUGUGUCAUAGCGAAAUGGACGGAGUUGUCAAGUGGACCUCAAACACAAAGCCUGAAACGUAAUAAAUGGCAGCCACCUUAGCCGACAAUUCAUUGAUUGCAUCUACUUGGGUCGUUAGAUUAUUUCUUUCUUUCUUUUGCUGCUUACAAGUUUGAUUAGCAAAUGCAAAGAUGAGCACCGUAAGAGAAACAAUAGGCUUGCACCUUGCUGGCUUUGUAGCCUUUUAGCUAUCAAGUUUUAAAGCCAUUGGCUCAUCCCAAUACAGUGUAUUCAAUUCCCAUUGCCACAACACAGCACCCCCCCCGCCCCCCCCACCACGUGGGACUGGGGGAAAUGAUAGCCGAAUUGUACGGACUAUGGGGGACAGCUGGCAGUUUUAGAUUGAGAAGAUCAAAGGAAUAUGUUAGUUUAUUAUAUAAAAAUCCAGGGACAAAAUCUAGGGAACAAGGCUUGUUAGAUUUACGUGAGGAGAAGCCACAUGUCCAAGUCCAGGAAUACAGAGAGAAGAAGCUAGAAAAAUGGUUUAAGAAAUAUUGGUAGGUUGCUAACUCAUCAAACUUAGUUGAGUUGGAUAGCAGGAAGAGUCAAAAACUGCAAAAUUUAGCUUAACCAAAAACUUGGGAAUCUCAGCCUGAAAAUGUAAAUAAAGAAAGAGAAAAUUGUUGUUGAAGGUGGGAGAUGAGGAUUAAGUUGAAGUGGGUCCCAAGUGAAUUCAUCCAAUUCACUCCAAAGGGGAGAAAAGGACUGAUAUCUGAUUGAUGGGUUGCUUUUAAAACAUUGAAGAAUGGAAGGGGGUGGGAUGUUGAUUUGUCACAAAGCCAUAAAAAAGCCAACCUCAUUACUUGGCCUAACUUCCACCAAACUCUCAACACCUCCCUUCCCCCCCCCCCCCCCCCCUACGCACACCACAAGCUUUAAUCUUCAAAGCUUUUACCCCUGCCCCAAAACAUGAAAUUUUGCCAACAAAAUUAAUUAAUGCCCCUAACAAAGUAUGUGACUGUGACUUUGUUGAGGUCAAUCAAACCAAAGCUUUAUUUUUUCCAUCCAUUUUGCCUUGUGACACAUGAUGAUGCUCCCAAUGUCCACUAGCAUAGGAUUUUUCAUGCUAUGCUAUAACCCUAUAUGACCUAAUUAUGUUAAUUAUUGUUUCCUUUUUUUUUUGUUUUGUUUUGCCCACUUCAUUUAUGUAAAAGAAGGUAAAACAGGUUUUUAUAUAAAAAAAAUACUUUAGGAGCUUAUUAAAUAUUUUAACUUAUAAUCAGUUAAUUUUGCAUGCUAAUAGUGAAUUUUAAUCGAGUUUUAUAGUUUCAAUAUUUUGAUUUAUUUUUUAUUGUUAGGUUAUAUGCUUUAUUCAUUUUCUUAAUAUCCAAAUUCAAUUUGUAUGCCAUUGUACUAUGGAAGAGUUAAUUCAUGAGAUAAGUUUGUCCGACUCCAUAAUAAAUGAUCUUGCAUUUGAAUUUAGGGGCAGGUAUUAAUUAGUCUCGAAUACAAGAUUCUAUGAUAUAUAUAUCUCUUACUUUAUAACAACUUAUCUAUAUCGGAUUUUAUGUAGAAAAAAUAUUCAAGUUGUGUUUGUAUGUGAAUAAAUUGAUUGGUGGGUGAUUAAAUUAUUUGCCAAGCAAUCGUAGGGCAUUCAAAAUGGUAGAUUUAACAAACGGAAAACUCUUUGGAAGUUGUGUGUGUUAAAACAUAGAUCCACAAUUGGAAGUUGUUAGCUUAAAUGGAAGUUAGAAGAGCAAUUAAACUAAUUAUGGAAAAAACUGAUAAACCCAAGGCCUAAACUAUGGUUUCAAAUUUUAAUUGAAGUUUGUAACAAAUUAAACUCUGGCCUCGAAAUAUGGGUUUUAGACUCCACAAGAUAUUAUCACUUUGCUUAAACUUAGAAAUGCUUGGAUGGAAUACUACUGUCGGAAACUUCCAUAACUUAGCAUGUAUAUUUGCUUGAGGUGAUUUCAUUGGGAAAUGCUAAAAAAAUCCAUAUAUAUAACAAUGUAAAUAGUCCAAGUAUGAAACUUUUAUGACAGAUUUGGCUGGGAGGAAUGACAAAUUUAUUACUUUGUUUGGUUGGUUUUGGUAUUAACGAAUAGUCAUUAUUUAAAAAUACAAAAUAACUAAUAUCGACUCUCCUAGUAUGAAUUAUUCUGUCCCUUAAGAAAUAGAGUCUAAAUAUUUUUAAAUAAAAAUACUCCUACUCAUUUUAAGAAAUUAAUAACCCUAUCGUAUAAACCUUUUUUCCUCAAGUGGUGAGGAUUAAGAAAACAAGAAGUGGGUGGAGAAAGCGACGAAGUAAAGGCAACCCAAUAACCUCAAAAGCUUAAGGCUAAAUAUUUAAAUGAAGUCUUUUUUAUUGAAAUUAAGAAAAUGAGGCCUUUUUAUUGAAGUUGAGGAAGAAAGAGAAUGAGGAAAAAAGAAUUCAAAAGCGAAUUUUAUAAAUUGAAAAAAAAUUAAUUUUAUAUAUAAAAAAAUAGUUGUUGGAGAUCAUUAAAUACAUGUUAUCAUUAGUUGAUUUGGAAUAAUAGAAAUAGUUGGGAGUUAAUAGCAUUAUGGGAAUUGGGAAGUGACAAAAAAUUGAGAUUUAUUAAGCACAUACUUAGCAAAGUGAGAAAAUAUAUCAUUUUAUUAACUAUCUUGACUUUUACAUAUUUUUUAAUAAGAAAUUAUAUAAAUAGUUGAAAAUUAAUAAGGAUGUGUGAAGUGAGAGAAAAUAGAUAUUUGUUAGGCAUGAGAAGAUAGGUAGAUAUUUUAUUAAUUAUCUUAAUUUUUGUAUAUUUUUAAUAUAAUUAAUUAUAUUAUUAUAAAAUUAUGGGACUUAUGAAAAUUUGAGGGCUAAAGCAAUGGCUUUGGUGGCUUUAUGCUAUAGUCGACCUUGAUGAAGCACUGCGAAUGGAAAAAGUUGAGUAAAGAAAAUAUUUGGAAAAGCUUUAAAAGCGUUUUGAGAGUAAUCUUUGAUCAAUUUCUAAUCUCUUGCUUAAUUGCCAAACUCCUAUAUUUAUAUGAAAUAGGAACACUUUCUUAGGAGCAGUUGGUAGAAGGAAAACACUUUUAGGAGAACACAUUUUGUAUGGAAGAACGUGCUUGUUAUGGGAAAAACAUAUCCACUAUAUGGAGAACAUCUUAUGGGAAUAGCACCUUGAAGAACGACUUAUUGGCCAUUAUGAGAAGAGCAUGUAAUUGGAUAGUGUUUUUAAGAGAACACAUUUUGUAUGGAACAAUGUGAUUGUUAUAGGAAGAGCACAUUCAUUAUGGGAAGAAUGGCUUAUAGGAAAAGCAACUUAAAGAACAACCUAUUAGAUAUUAUGGGAAGAACAAGUAAUUGGAUAGUGCUUGUGUUAACCUUGAUUUAUAUCAUGUUUUGAUUUGACAAAAAUCAUAUGUUUUCUUGAACUUAUUGUCAAGUAUUUGAAAUUAUCUCAAAUAUAUUUUUAAUCCCCUAAGGUUACAUAUUUGUUUGGAAAGCCAUGCAUCUUUAGAAAACACCUUAUAAGAUUUCAAACAAUACAUUUUCAACUAAGAAAUCAAGAAUGAACAUGCCUCGAAAUGUUUAUUUAAAUAUAGGUACAAGGCAAAGAGGAAGUUGUUGGAGAGAAGUAUCAAAAAGCUAAGGAAACCUUAAGAAACAGGCUAAGAGUCGAUCCUAGAGAAGCUUAAGUUGAUUUGAAAGUUGGAAAAGUGGGAAACAUGAAGAUUAUACAGUCAUAGUUGACUAUAGAGGAAGCAUAGUCGACCUUAACAAGUCAAAAGCAAGAAAAAGUAAAGAUUACAUAACCAUAGUCGACUAUACAGGAGGUAUGGUCGACCUUGACAAGUCAAAAGCCAAAGGAAGUCAACUUUAAAUAGACACAGUUGAUUAUAAGAGAGGCAUAAUCGACUAUAGAAGGCCAGAUUUGAAAAAUGCACUUUUUCUAGAAGUUGAUUGAUUAAAGGAAGUCUAUACUCGACUAUAGAAACCUUAAUUGAGAAAUUUAAAGAACAUUGCCAACCCUAAGAGCGUUGUAGUCGACAUUCAAGUUCCAGCAAUGGCUAUAUUUGAUUCAAACUUGUGUCCAAUGGCUCCAAACCUUGCCCUAACUAUAAAUAGACACAUUUGAGCCAUUUUGAAGUAGAAAAGACCUGAACCAGAGUUUCAAACCCUAGAGAGACUACUCACAAGCUCAUAUUCAUUCUCUAGCAUUUUUUUAGUCUUUCAUCAAUCUUUCAAAGUUGAAUCCUUGCUUCAAUCCAGUUGAAAUUUCUUCUUUCAUUACACCCAAGCUAAAAUCUCUAGCAUCCAGCCUUUAUGAGGCAGAUUUUUGCUAUUACUCCUUUGUACACAUAUCUUGUAAAGGUUAUAGCUUAACCUUGAAAGCUAUCUUGUAAGGGUUAUCGCUUCUCAUUUAUAAAGCAAGAAUCCUUUGUGGAUUGUGUGGGUUACAACUUCAUCCCAUGAAAAAGAAAAAAGCCCUUUGUGGGUUGUGUAGGGGUCAUUUCUUGAUCCCAUAAAAAGCCGUUGUAAGGGUUAUCGUUUCAUUCUAUGAAAAGAAAAAAUCUCUUUGUGGAUUGUGUGAGGGUCAUUGCUUCCCAUUAAAAGUAAGUAUUCUUGAUAGUGGAGUGAAAUUCCUUGGUUACCAAGAGAGUGGAUGUAAGCAUCGAAAAAAUCAAAUCACUAUAAAUCGCUUAUGUCUCUCUUUAGUUUCCACAUUAUUAUUUAUUGCUUAUACCUAGGAAAAUAGAUUUAUGUUGAUUUAUUGUUUUUCUCUUAGGAAAAUACUUUUGCUUUAUCUUUCAUAGCUAGCAUUUUUUUCAAGAAAAAUAUUUUACCUUGAUUCAUUAUUUUUAUACUUAGUGAUUUACUGUUGGAAAUUUGUUUAUGAUAUUAGAAAAUAUUUUUGGCUGAAAAAGAUUUGAUAUUUAAUACAUACAUUUUGAAAUAAGUUUUUAAUAUAUCAAUUCACCCCCUCUUGAUAUAUUGUUUAGUGAGACUUUUACACUAACAAUUGAUACUAGAGCUUAGUCUUAAUUUUGUAGGUCUAACUGCAUUUAAGAGAUCCUUUGUAAAAACUCAAUUCGACUAAAAUGGAAGUGAUGACUAUCAUACUUAGUGAAAGGCAAUAAAUCCAAAGACCACCUCUCUUUGUAGGUAAUAAUUAUCUUUAUUGGAAAAAAGGGAAUGGAAAUGUUUAUUCAAUCUAUAGAUUUGGAUGUGUGGAAUGUGAUAUUAGAAGGCCCUAAUGUUCCAUAUAAGUUAGUAGAAAGAAAAUUAGUGAUUAAACCUAGAGAUGAGUGGAGUGCUAGAGAUAAGAAACUAGUUCAAACAAAUUGUAAGUCAUAUAAUAGUCUUCUUUAGGCCUUGAGUGUUAGUGAAUAUAACAAAGUCUCUAUGUGUGAAAAUGCUAAGCAAAUUUGAGAUACUUUAAAUACUACAUAUGAAGGAACUAACCAAGUUAAGGAAUCCAAAAUUGGGUUGCUUAUCCAUGAUUAUGAACUUUUUAAAAUGAGAGAGGGUGAAUCAAUAAGUGAGAUGUUUGAAAGGUUUACAAACAUUAUAAAAAGUAUGAAAGCUCUAGGAAAAAACUUCCCAAAUGCCCAACUUGUGAAGAAAAUUCUUUAUACCCUACCAAAAUGUUGGAGACCCAAAGUAAUGGCUAUAAAAGAAGUUAGGAACCUCAACAACUUUGAGUUAAAAGAAUUGAUAGGAUCCCUACUCAUUUAUGAAAAGACACUUGAACAUGAAAAUGAGAAAGAGGAACCUAGGAAAAAAGUCAAACAAAAGAAAGUUGCCUUUAAAUCCAUAGAUAAGAAAGAUGAAAGAGUCAUACAAAUUGAUAGUGAGAGUGAGGAAGACAUAGCUAUGCUAGCUAGAAAAUUCGAUAAGUUCAUGAUCAAAAGCUAUAAAAAUAGAAAACCUACAAAAAGAGAUGCAUAUAAAGUAGAACAUUUAAAUGAUCAUUUGACAUGCCAUGAUUACAAAAACCUAAAGACACCAAAUAUGAGUACCCAAGUGUCAGUUAAAAUCCUACUACGUAACUAUACGUAUCGAAUAGAUAGUAUAUUAGCAAGCAGGGUAUCGAUCCCACAGGGAAUUGAUCUAAAACUUUACUAAUUACUAAAAUUAGAACAAUUCAAUCUUAUCCAAACAAUCAAAUUUAUUAAUUAACUAAAACUAAUUAACUAAAAUUAAAACCAACAAGAAAAAUCGAAGUAAUAAUAACUUGAGAAAAUAUCAAAUCAAAUAAGCCUAGGAUCACAAUAUCCCUCACACUUCAUCUAAAUCUUACCUCUCUUACUUAACUUAUUUCAAUGGGUUGAAUUGCUAACCUAGAGUCCUAAAUUAUUUAUAAGGAUCUUUCGACUCAACCUAGAAAAAUAUCUAUUUUAACCAAAACACUAUAUCCCUAUGUGAUUUGAAAUUAAAGCAGAUUUAUUAAGUUCAGGCUCUAAUCUGGCUACAUACGGCCUAUAGGUAUAUCCCUAUCCUAUAGGCAAAUCAAUUAAUUUGAUCAUAUGCUAUCCCAAUUUUAGUCUACUCUAAACUCCCUUUCCCAAGUUUGUUUAGGUUCCUAGAUCAAUUUAAUUGGUGAUCAGACAAUUAAAAGCAGUAAGAACAAUUGGAAUAAACAAUUCAUAUCUCAUUAAAAUAAGUAAGAAAGAGAUUUAAAAAUUUAGACUACAUGUGAGUUUAAUUGCAAUCCUAGAAAAAGAAAAUUUAGCCACUCAUAAUUGCAAAAACAAAUAACAUUAUAAUAAAUUUAACCAUUGAAAGUAACAAGAAAAUUAAAAGCUAAGGAAGAACACAAAACAAUUAUUGUCGACUUGAUCUCUAAGUUUCAGCUCAACUUCUAGUUUCUUGAAUCUCUCAAAGGUUAUCUCUAAUGUUGUUAAACAUAUCCUAUUUAUACUAAUAGACUUAACCUAAAGUUCCUUCAGCUGACCUAGGGUUUAAUUGGGCUUAAAAGUGUAGUGAAAGGCCCAAAAAUCAAUUAUCAGUCUUUACAAAUUUCCAUUCCCGGCACAGUACAUCCAGCCAUUUUACGACACAAUUUUUUCUAUCUUCGAGGCAGAACUGGGCAAAGUGAUCCUCAUGAAAGUUGUAUCUCUGUCUCUUAUCUUUCCACUGGUUUAAGAAUCGCAUCAUUUGGAGUUCUGUAACUUGAGAUAUGGCCAAAAUACUGAAGUAUAUGCAAGCAGAUUUUGGGUCUGUCUACACCUUACUUUCCAAAAUUAACCCAAUCACCUUUAAUCCUACAAAAGAAAUAAAAACCAAUAAAUAAUAGCCAAAUUAACAAGAAAAACAUAAAAUUAAAAUAACUAACUUAAAGUACCCUAAUUAUAAAAACUACUAAAAAUAAAUAAAAUAACAAUUGAAAAUUGAGGACUUAGUUAAUAUUUAAUAACAAAAUUAGAGUAAAAUAAUUCUAUAAAAUAGAAUUAUCACACCCCCAAACUUAAGAUUUUGCUAGUCCUCGAGCAAAAGAAAAUCACAAAAGAAAACUGAACAUAAAAAAAUGCUUGAACAAGAGAUAGAAAUACCAAAUAAUGAUUUCCCAAUUUUUUCCUCAGAAAUUAACUCAAAUUCCAACUUCAGGUAAUAUACAACUAAUCCUUAAAUUCAUGCAUCAAUUCAAGUGAAAAUUUAUUUUUCGAAUGGACUUCCGUGUAUGUGUGAAUGUUCUCUUAGAAAGAAUAUCAUGCAAUUCAAAUCAAUUUAUGCCAAAUUUAAACAUAGAUUAGUACUAAGAUCCCAUAAGUUUGCUUUUCAUCUCUCUCUCCACUAAUGUAGAUGAACACUUAUUCAAGGAUCAAUAGGUCCUUAUCAAGCUUGUAAUGUAAGGCUAGGGUCAAGGUAUGAUAAAGGAUAUAUUUAAGCUCAACUUUACCCUAAGCACUUAAUCAAUCUAAAUUAUAUAAAGAGCUCAAAAAAUUUUUAUAGCACCCUCAAACUUGAAGUAAAUUUUUCUUUGUACCACACAUUUUAUUUCACUUUUUUUCUUACCCCCAAACUUUUUUUUUGACAAUUAUAAACUAAGGGUAAUUUUUGCCAACAGCAAUCACAUUUUUUUUUUGGCUCUCUCCCUCAAUUUAUCUUUAAGCUCAAACCAUUCUUUAGAAAGAUUAUCAUACUUAGAGGGUGAAAGGUUCAAAUUAUUGGGAUUAAAUAAACAGGCCAAGGCUAAUAUAACUGUGUAAUUAUAAAGAAAAGGUAAAUUAGGGUCAAAAAGGGUAACUAAGGAUAAAUAUAACAAGGUGGGCUCAAAAAGGCUCAAACGAUCCAAAGAUGGCCUAAAUCACUUCCUAUCCUAAGUGUUAUCUAAGAUUUCGCCUCGAGAGAGAAUCAAACAAAUUCUAGAAUUCCUGACUUCAUUAUACUUUCUAUUCAACAUAAACUUUCACAAAAGAUUCUAAGUAAAAGAGUGAAGUGCUCAAAUUAUUGGAAGUCAUAUUUUAAAAUAAAGUUAACACAAAAAUAUCACAUGAAAAUAAAUCAUAACUAUAUGCUUCCCAAAAACUAAGAAUCAAAAAAUAAUUAAAAUAUCAUCCUAGGAUUAAGACAAUCAUGAAUGAGGUACAACUAUCUCAAAAUAUUAUUAUUAUUAUUAUUAUUUUUUCAACAACACAACAAAACAUGCAAAUAAAAGCAAGCAAGAAAAAAUAAACUAACAAAAGUCUAAACUAUUCCCUCAAACUUGAAAUGGACAUUGCCCUCAAUGUGAUAACAAAAAUAAAAGACAAGAGACAAGAAUACUCCCCUCACUUCGAAUCGGUAGUCUACAAGUCCGCCGCAUCAGCACCACCAAAAUCAUCUUCAGAGUCAGAAUCCGUAGGUAACGAAGGAAAAGUAGACAUAUCCAUCCCAACGUGUGUAGCAUAGGCUCGCAUCAUUUGUUCAAUUGCCCGAUUCUGCCUUUCCUAACGAUCUAAACGAUGAUCGAUGCGCUCCAUCCAUUGAGCAAAACUACAUGUGGGCGCUGCCUGUGGAGGUGGGAGAGCGACUUAGGAAGAACUACCAACGACUUGUGUAAAUUCCUCUAAUCUUUGGAGAAUGCCCAUGGUGAUAGGAAGUUUUGGUUGUUGAAGCUGUUCUUUAUCACUCCAUUGCACACCAGCUCGUGCACAUAAGGCAGUGAUGAGGGAAGGAAAACCGAUACCAUCUCGUUUAGUGCGACCCGUAUGUAAGAUGGCAUGAGAGAUAACCUUACCAACAUCAAUGGAUUUAUGUGCGACAAUGGCAUAAAUAAGCACUGCACGAUCCUUCGUGACAUCACUGAUAUGAGUGGAAGAGAGUAACCGUGCCGCUACAAAAUGUAACCAAACUUGUAACUCCUUUUUCAUGACACUCCGUUUGAAUGAAACUGGUUCACCAUGCGAUGUCUUCCAUUGGGCUCCUUCAACACACAAUGUUGAUAUAAUCUCAUUGCAAUCCUAAUGAUCGCCCAAAUACUGCCCAUAUUCAUCAUUUUCAAUAUUUGGAGUUCUCAAAAAUUUGUUGAUAGCUUGGCUAUGAAAAGGAACACGUUUACCAUGAACAAAUGCCACACCAUCAACAUGCUCAACCACAUUCGCAUAAAACUCUCGUACUACAGGAACCACUGUUGCAUCAGGUUGGUGACAAAAUUGGCACCAAUAUCUGUCAUGAAUCAUGUCAUUAAUCUCCUUGUAAGGCAGAAUGGGGAUCUUUAUUCCUCGUUCGGGAAUGGGCCUUUGGUUGAUCAAGGAUGUAUGAUAACGUGUAAAGGCUUCGACAGAUAUAAACUUUGAUCUAUCAAAAGAUCCACUGGAACUUGGUUUGGAUCGUUUUGGUGCCAUUCCUACAAAAGAAAGUUAAUUAUCAAAACAAAUCAGAGGAAAACUAUGCAAGUAGUUUUGUAUCAACAAGCAUGAAAAUAUGAAAGAUUUAUAAGCAUGAGCUUAAUUAGUGCCUGUCCAAUGUAACAAAUCAAAUUCAAGAUUUCCAUUGACAAUCUUACUUCUUGAGAUGCAGCCUAAAGUUCCUAUGCUUCACAACGUUAAGAUAGCCUUCUCAUAAUAAUAGUUUUCACAUUGCCACAAUUCACAAAAUAAAAUAAAAAAUUCUAUGACAAUGUACUUAUCCAAACUUACUAGAUAUGGCAUGUGUUGCACCACAAUUCCAAAAUUUAUUUCUACUUAUUCAACCCAAACAUAAAAAAAAUAAAAUUAAUCAAGCCCAUCAUGUACUCAUAUCAACAAAGAUUGUAUCAAGUCUAUUGUUAGCAGCAAAAAAUUCCAUGGAUCCAUUAGAUGAACAGAAAUUAAGCACUAAUCAUUAAAUUUUUUGCACUUUAAGCAUUAUACAUGAGGAAGUAUGAAAAGACCCAUAAACAAGCAGGCACAAUGAACUCAUUUAAGGUGCAAAAAUUAAGAAAAGUUAACACCAACCUCAUCCCUAUUCUACAAUAAAUAAUUGCAAUCCAAAUGUUUGAAGGAGGGGAGGAGGAAUGCUUACCUUGAGAAUGCAAGAAGUGCAGAAAAAAAAAAUGCUUGAUAGAAAAUGCAGGAUUUUAAGUGAAAAAGAUAAAAAAAAUCGAAUAGAAAUAUGUGUAGAAAUUUUGAGUGCAAGAGAAAGAAAGAUGCAGGAGAGUUGAAAGGAGUUGAGGAAUGGGGGAGGAUGUUUGGCAGUAAGAGCAGAGGAAAGUGAAGGAACAAAAAAAAAACAAAGGGUUUUUAAAGGUAAACAUAUUGUAGUAGAACUUAUUAUGCUAAAAUUUGAGAAUAACAAACUUUGUGAUGCUCGUGUCAAAGGUAAACAUAGGAGAGUUUCUUUUAAAUUAAAAAAGAAUGUGACCACAAUUAGAGUAUUGCAAUUUCUUCACAUAGAUUCUUUUGGCCCAACUAAGACUACUAGCUUAGGUGGAAAGAACUAUAGGUUAGUGAUUGUUGAUGAUUACACUAGGUUUACAUGGGUGUAUUUUCUUGCACAUAAAGAUGAGGCUUUAAAAACAUUUACAUCAUUUUGUAAGAGAGUUGAAAACGAAAAGGGGUCUGCUAUUUCAAACAUUAGAAGUGACCAUGGCAAAAAAUUUGAAAACUUAGGCUUUGAUCAAUUAUGUGAAGAAAAUGGUAAUGGUCAUAAUUUUUCAACCUUAGGACCCCACAACAAAAUGGUGUAGUAGAAAGGAAGAAUAGAAUUUUAGAAGAAAUGAUUAGGACUAUGUUGUGUGAAAAUAAUUCACCUAGAUAUCUUUUGGUCGAAGCCAUUAAUACUUCAUGCUGAAUCAUAAAUAAGGUAAUGGUUAGAUCAAUGCUAAAAAAGACACCAUAUGAGCUUUACAAAGGCAAGAAAGCCAAUAUUGCAUAUUUUCAUCCUUUGGUUGGAAAUGUUAUGUAUUAAACAAUGGAAAAGAUAAUUUAGAAAAAUUUAAUGCUAAAAGUGAUGAAGGAAUUUUUCUAGGAUAUUCUCUAAACUUUAAAACUUAUAAAGUAUAUAAUAAGAUAACACUAGUGGUUGAGGAGUCAAUACAUGUGUUAUUUGAUGAUUCUAACCUUCUUUCUAGAAAUGAAGACUAUGAUGAUGAUGUAGGUAUCUUUCAAGAGCCAAUUGAUGACAUUGAUCUCAACAAAGAUAGUGAAGAAAUUAACACCAGAAGAAUAACAACAUAUUGAACAAAUCAUUGAACAAAAAGAGCCAAACUACCUCAUGGUGAGAAAAGAAGUUAAUGAAAGUAAAAUUAUUAAGAUUCCACUUAAGGAAUAAGAACAAGAGCCAAACAUGUUUGUGAGUAUGUUGCCUUCAUUUCUCAAAUAGAGCUUAAGAAAAUUGAUGAUGCCUUGAAUGAUGAACAUUGGAUUUUAGCAAUGUAAGAGGAACUAAAUCAAUUUAAGAGAAAGGAGGUAUAGGAAUUAGUACCUAGACCACAUGAUUAUCCCAUUGUAGGAACUAAAUGGGUGUUUAAAAAUAUGAUGGAUGAAUAUGAAAAUAUAACUAGAAAUAAAGCUAGAUUGGUGGCUAAGGGAUAUAGUCAAGAGAAAGGUAUACACUAUGAUGAAACAUAUGCAGACAUAACUAGGUUAAAGGCUAUUAAGAUGUUGUUAGCAUUUGCAUGUUAUGUGAACUUAAAAUUGUUUCAAAUGGAUGUCAAAAGUGCUUUUUUAAAUGGGAAAAUUAAUGAAAAAGUGUAUGUGGAACAACCCCUUGAAUUUGAAAGUCCAACCUUUCCAAACCAUGUGUUUAAACUUAAAAAGGCUUUGUACGGUCUAAAACAAGCAUUUGGGGCUUGGUAUGAGACACUUUCAAAAUUUUUAAUAGAGAAACACUUUGAUAGAGGUAAGGUGGAUAAGACAUUCUUUAUUAAAACAAAUGGCAUACAGAUCUUAGUAGUACAAGUAUAUGUUGAUGAUAUAAUGUUGGCGCUACUAAUGAAUCUCUUUUUCAAGAAUUUGCAAGAGUAAUGUAUGGAGAAUUUGAAAUAAGUAUAAUGGAUGAGCUAAAUUACUUCUUGGGAUUACAAAUCAAAAAAAAAGAAGAUAGUACAUUUAUCAAUCAAGCCAAGUACACUAAUGACAUGCUUAAAAAAUUUAAAAUGGUGGGAACUAAAUCCUACUCCACUCCAAUGGCCACAUCUACCAAGCUAGACAUUGAUGAGGAAGGUACACAUAUUGACCCUAAACUAUAUAGAUCAAUGGUAGGUUUUUUGGUUUAUCUUACUACUAAUAGACCUGACAUAAGCUUUAGUGUAGGGUAUGUGCUAGGUUUCAAUCAUCACCUAAGGAGUCUAACUUAAGUGCUGUCAAGAGGAUAUUUAGAUACCUUCAUGACACUCCUAACUUACGUUUAUGGUACCCAAAGAACUCAUUCUCUAACUUAUACUCUAACUCGGACGUCAAUUUUGGAGGAUGUAAAAUAGGUAGAAAGAGCACUUCCAGCAUUUGUCAAUUCUUAGGAAAAAUGUCAAUAUCUUGGUUUUCUAAAAAGCAAAAUAGGGUAGCCAUAAUUGAAGCCAAAUAUGUAACAAUAGGUAGUUGUUGUGCUCAAAUGCUUUAGAUGAAACAACAAUUAGAGGACUAUGGGUUAUCAAUGGAAAAGAUUCCCAAUAAGCAUGAUAAUGCUAGUGCUAUUAAUCUCACCAAAGAUCUCAUUCAUCACUCUAGAACAAAGCACAUUGAAAUAAGACAUCACUUCAUUGGAGAUCAUGUACAAAAAGAAAAUGUUGUCUUAGAAUAUAUAAGCACUCAAGAUCAACUAGCUAAUGUUUUUACUAAGCCUUUAGAUAUGGAGGCCUUUUACAAGAUUAAUGGAGAAUUAGGUAUUAUGAAUAUGCCAUGACUAGUUGAUAAAUCUAUGUUUUAAUGUUACAUAGGUAGUAGUAUUUUGUUUCAUUGAAUCUCUUAUUGUUGAUUGACUAUUCUUGUUCAUUUUAUGUAUAUAACUAUGAUUGGUUUAUGUUUACUCAUGCAUUUCAUCAUGUUUAUAUUUUUGCUUGUGUAAUAUGGAUGAUUAAUUAUGUAUAUGUCUAUGUUUAUGCUUGUUAACUCCAUGAACUUGAAAAAUGUACUGCCCGCAUCAUUUUGGUUAUGUAUAGUUAUAUAUGUGGCAUUCUUGAAUUGAGUUCUUAGUUGAAAAUAUCUAUAUGUGCUUUGAUUUGCAAUGAUUGUAUAUAUUUCUUCACACUUUACUUGAAUAUCUAGAGAAGAAAUAUGUUAUGAUCCUUAUAUGUGCUAAAUGAGUAUAUUUCCUUAUGCUUUGCUUGAAUAUCUAUUGAUUGGAAAUACAUCUUCAUUUAGUGAUCUCAUAUCAUGAUGAUUGCAUAUAUUUCUUAAUCUAUUGAUUGAAUAUUGAGUAAAAAUAUAUGUCAUUGUUUUGAUUUGAUGGUUAGAAAUCAUUAUCGAACUUAAUGCUUAUUUAUAUUUGAUGAUUAUCAUUAACUAUUCUCUCUUAAGUUGAAGUGCUUAAAGCUCACACUUCUUAACCUUUUUUGUAUAACAAAAAGGGGAAAAAGGUUUAUGAGCACAUUUAAAUGCUCUAUAUUAGCUGGAUUUGCCUUAAAAACAUUUUUGAACUUCAUGCAUAUAUUAAGAGGGAGAAUUUUUCAAAGUUCAUAUUCAUUUCUUAUACCCUUUUCAUUUACACUUAAAUGUUUUCAACAAAGGCAUAGAAACUAAUUAAGUUAAAGGGAGGUUUCAAGAAAUUUCAAAUGAAAUAUGCUCAUGUUUUUAUCAUAUCAAAAAAGGGAGAGAUUGUCAGCCUUAACUUAUGUCAUGUUUUGAUUUGACAAAAAUCACAUGUUUUCUUGAAUUUAAUAUCAAGCAUUUGAAAUUAUCUCGAAUACAUUUUUAAUCCCCUAUGUUUACAUAUUUGUUUGGAAAGCCACACAUCUUUAAAAAACGCCUUAUAAGCUUUCAAACAAUGCAUUUUCAACUAAGAAAUCAAAAGCAAACAUACCUUGAAAUGUUUAUUUGAACAUAGGUACAAGGCAAAGAGGAAAUAGUUGGAGAGAAGUUUCGAAAAGCUAAGGAAACCUCAAGACACAAGCCAAGAGUUGAUCCUAGAGAAGCUUAAGUUGAUCUAAAGGCUAGAAGAGUGGAAAACGUGAAGAUUACACAGCCAUAGUCGACUACAAAGAAAGCAUAGUCGACCCUGACAAGUCAAUAGCAAGAAAAAGUCAAGAUUGCAUAGCCAUAGUUGACUAUAGAAAAGGUAUAAUUGACCUUGACAAGUCAAAUGCUAGAGGAAGUCAACUUUAAACAAACAUAGUCGAUUAUAAAAGAGGCAUAGUCGAUUAUAGAAAGUCAAAUUUGAAAAAAUACACAUUCUUUGGAAGUUGAUUGACUAGAGGAAAAUUAUAUUCGACUAUGGAAGCCUUAAUUGAGAAAUUUGAAUAACACAGCGACCCUAAGAGUGUUGUAAUCGACCUUUAGGCUUUAGCAACAGUCAGAUUUGAUUAAAACUUGUGUCUAACAACUCCAAACCUUGCCUCAACUAUAAAUAGAUGCAUUUAAGCUAUUUUAAAGUAGAGAAUACCUGAACCAAAGCUUCAAGCCCUAAAAAACUACUCAUAAACUCAUAUUCAAUCUCUAGCAUCUUUUUAUUCUUCCACCAAGCUUUCAUAGUUGAAUCCUUGCUUCAAUCCAGCUGAAAUUUCUUCUCUCACUACACCCAAGUAAAAAAAUCUAGCAUCGAACCUUUAUGAGGCAAAUCUUUGCUACUACUGCUUCGUACACACAUAUUGUAAAGGUUUUAGCUUAAUCUUGAAAAGUUAUCUUGUAAGGGUUAUCGUUUCCCAUUUAAAAAGCAAGAAUCCUUCGUGGAUUGUGUGGGUUACCGCUUCAUCUCGUGAAAAAGUAAGAAUCCCUUUGUGGAUUGUGUUGGGGUUAUAGCUUGAUCCCGUAAAAAGCCGUUGUAAGGGUUGUCACUUGAUCUCGUGAAAAACAAAAUCUUUUUGUGGAUUGUGUGAGGGUUAUCGCUUCCCAUUAAAAAACAAGAAUCCUUGAUAGUGGAUUGAACUUCUUUGGUUACUAAGGGAGUGAGUGUAGGUAUCAAAAAAGCUGAACCACUAUAAAUCACUUGUGUCUCUCUUUAGUUUUCACAUUAUUAUUUAUUGCUUAUACUGGCCUCAGGAAAAUAGAUUUAUAUUGAUUUAUUGUUUUUCUCUUAGGAAAAUAUUUUUGUUUGAUCUUUCAUAACUAGCAUUUAUUUCAAGAAAAAUAUUUUACCUUGACUCAUUAUUUUUAUACGUAGUGAUUUAUUGUUGGAAAUUUGUUUUUGAUAUUACAAAAUAUUUUUGGGUGAAAAAGAUUUAAUUUUUUAUACUUACAUUUUCAAAGAAAAUUUUAAUAUAUCAAUUCACCCCCUCUUGAUAUAUUGUUUAUUGGGACUUCUACACUAACGGCCCAUAAGUUUUAGGUAAUGAAGUAGUGAUACUUAAUAAUGUGACAUGUGUACUCUUAAGAAAAAAGGAAAGGGUAAAGCACAUGUACUUUAAGGUUAAGAGGAUGUCCUCUUAACUAUCUCCAUAUCUGAGCCAUCAAGUUAAAUUUUCUAAAAUAUCCCACUGUGAAAAUAACUCGUGAACCCUGUUACUCGUUCUGAGUUACUUUCACUCUCCCAUAUGACACAGAUGUUCCAUAUUUGUUCUCAUUAUACAAGACAACACUUAAAGAAAUAAUAGUUAAUCAAAAUUGGACAUCUAUAAACGGUUAGCUCUUUUUUUCUCGGAAGUGAAUGAAUGGGUUAGCAAAACAUAUGCUUUUCACUUUCAAAUUCGGAUAAUUUAAUACAUCCACAUUAUAUUUGUUCAACCAAAAAAAAAGAGAAAUAAAAAUACUCUAACAAGAGAUAUUUUGCCAUUUUCUUCUUCAGACGUUAGCAAAAAUAAAAUAAAAAAGAAGGCCAUUGCCUAGAUCUCAUGUUUAAUGACUAUAAUCAUUUUUUUCAUUCUUUUUGUAUUUCUAGUGUGUCCAUCAUUGCACCGUACCAUUGAGGAACCCUUUUUUUAAAGUUAUAUUAUUAUAUUAAAAUCAAUAAUUGGAAUUAGUGGUGCAAUCGGUUUUUGUCCCCAAGGUUUGAGUUUGAGUAGCACUGAUCUUCAAACAGUUAGAUCUCUAAAAGUAUACUAUAACACUAAUAUGGUUGAGUAUGUAAUCACAUAGCAAAUAUGCAACUAAUGUAACAAUUCUGGUUUAGCUUAAUUGUUCUUACCAUUUUCUUUAAGAGGAUUAAAGUCUAACGUUUAUUUUCUCUUGACCUUCUUCUUAUGUACUAAAAGAAAAAGAGUGCUUUUCAUAAAUGGGCCUUAGGCAUAAGGCGUUUUUUAGAAUGGUCUUCUUUAUAAUUUUAACUGUUUUUAGCCAAGAAAAAAAUGGACAAAAUUGUCCUUAAUGAAAUUGACCCAUUGCUAGGCUCCGUGCCUCAACCCGAAACCUAUUAACCGGUCAAGUAUGUCCUUUAUGUGGACCACAACUCUUCGGUUUUCAUCGAGAGAUAGUACAUAUCCUCAGAAGCAAGUCUGCAAAAGCAUUCCUCGACAGUUCAACUUUUGAGCAUUUUGGCAGUGGUAGGAGCCUUUUGGAGUGGUUAUUAUUCGCACAAAGGUAGUUCACAUAUUGAGCAGUGUGAGGAAGUUGACAUUACGCUGAGAAAGGUAUAAUAUUUUUUUAUGAAUUUAUUUAUUUUAUUUUGAACCAUGUGGAGGUUUUUGAUAGAAUGGUUAUUGUUCGUGUUUAGGGUUAAGGUUUUUGAGCAUAAACCUAUACAUGUUGCACAUUCAUAUUGAUAUUUUUGUUGUUUGAAAUUUUUGAAUAUAAACAUGAAGGUGGUAUUAUUGGUGUUUAGGGGUGGAAAGGUGACCAGCCAUGCGUGACUGGUUGAUAUGUAUGUGUUAGGAAUUCGGUUGAGGGUUUAGAUGUUGGGUGAGUGAGGGCGUGCUUAGGUGGUUGGCACCUUUUGCUUGAGUGGAUUUUGGCAUGGGGUCACAUUGGGGUUGCGUGAUUGAAAAAGGGUUCAACUUAGCAUGACUGAUUGAUAGGUCAUUGCGUGAUUAGUUUCUAUGUUAUUGCGUGAAUAUUGUUCAGGCAUGGCAUCAGUUAGUGUGUGUGUGACUCGAUUAGUUGUUCUUAGAAUUGCGUGACUUGUUUAUAAAUCAUUGCGUGAUUUAAUGUUAGUAAUUGCGUGACUAAUUGAUUAGGUAUUGCGUGACUAUUGUUGUAGGAAAUUGCACGAGUGUCAUAACUGCAUGAAAUUUAUUUGCAUGGGUUCAUUCUGUAUUAUUUUGGGUCAACUGUAAUGCUUUAAUGUGUAUAUGUUGAUUUACUUAAUAAUCCAUGCUCCACACUUGGAUUAAUUAUUCUGUUUCAGGGAUGUCUAAAAACAAUAAAAAAUAUUGUUAGGGUUAUUUUUUGAGUGAGCUUAUGAAGAGGGUCAUUUUUCAGAAAUUUCGCUAGUUUUUUUGUUAAUCUACAAUGAUGGUAUUGACAGGACUAAAAUGGGAAUGUUAUCUGUUUUAUGUUGCAGAUGGCCAGCACAUUAACAGAGCAGGAAAAUGUGAAGUUCUUGCUUUGUGUGCCGAGGCAUCGGUAGGGGUUCAAUGCGGGCAUUAACAUCCGCUGUAAGUGAUCGCAUCUGCACGUGAUACGUGAGAUGCUGUGUCAAGUGAACGAGUUGGAAAACUUUAAGAGAACAUGCUUCGGGCACAUGAUGGAUGUCGAAGCAGACAAGGGUUUAUUCUGCUUCAGUCUAGUGCACAAUCUAAUGCUGUGCAGAAUCAACAAACCUGACGCCACCGAGGCAGAGUUAUGGUUCACAAUAAGGAAAACGAAGGCUCGCUUUUCUAAGAGGGAGUUCUAUCUGGUCACAAGAUUGAAGUUUGGUCCCUUAUCGGCCCUCAUUGUCAAUCGGUGCAAGGCCCUUCUUGGAGGAAUUCACCUAAGAUAUUGGGGACUAGGGAAGGAGGUGAAGAUCCAACAGGUUUUAGAUACGUUGAAGGGAGGGUAGUUUCAGUAGGAGGGAGACACGAGCAAGAUGGCCCUCAUCUUGAUAGCGACGAAUGUUUUAUUUGGUCAAGACUAUAGACGAUCUGUGGUUCCAUGGUUAUUGUCACUGGUCGAGAACAUCGAUGAGUGGGGCACAUAUGUGUGGAGUCUGACUGUGGAUUACCUACUAAGGGGUUUUGAACCUCCUGUUAUGGGUAAAGUAGAGAAGAAGCGUUACAACCUCUACGGAUUCAUAUGGGCGUUUCAGGUAGUCUGCCAUAGUCUAAUGUUUAUCAUUAUCAUUAUUCUUUUCGCAUAAGAAUUUAUGAGGUGAGUAAAAAUGUUACACAAUUGACUUGCAGUUUUGGGCAUUGGAAGCAAUACCUAAAAUCAGAAGCUUGUUCGGAAGGCAGCGACAGUCCGGACAAGUUUGGCCAAGAAUGCUUAAAUGGUAAUGUGACGAGACGCCUUCAGGCUUCCACGCCAAUAUUACAAGUUUGGAGAAAGAGGGCAAGGUGAGUAAAUAAACCAUAUUUUUUUUAUUUUAUUAAUUUUCAUUUUGAUUGUCGUAGGGUAGCAAGGGUUAUACCUAAUGGCAAUGUAUGUUUUGGUGCAGUUGUGGGUAGUGAGGGCGUUGGAGCCAACGACAGAAGAGAUGUUGACCGCAUAUUGGGCAGACAUUAAGGUCAAUAUCUUUGAGGGGCAGCAAUAGAUUCCAUUGUGGAAGUUAGAGGGUCGGCCAAAAUUUGAUCCCCUGCAAAGGAGGAAAAUAAUGAACCGUAAAGGGAAAAGUCCAGUACGACGAGCAGUUAAGUGGAGUCGCACCAUGGACGAGGAGGUCCAUUCUGAGCGAGGUGCUGCUGAGGCACCUCAUUCUCUUGCUACAGCUCUUCAUGGUGCAUCUCUUGCUGCUCAUCAUGCUACUACUCCUGCUGCUGCUCUUCCUACUUCUGCUGCUGCCCUACCUCCUGCUUUGGGUGUUGCCCCUCAUGCUGAGCCGUGCAAUCGGGCGUUGCGUCUGCAAAUGACUACGAGCAUUAAGGGAGAGCUGCAAAAGAUGCGGACACAAUGGAAGAAAAACCUCCAGUCCUUGCAGACGAAUAUGCAGAUGCAGAUGCAGUUAAUGCAGUUGGAGAUCCAACAAUCAAUGCAGUUGGAGAUCCAGCGGGCGAUGCAGAUGCAGAUGCAGUUGGUGAUCCAGUGGGCGAUGCAGAUGCAAAUGCAGACACUACAUGAGCAUAUCCAACGCUCGUUGCAAGGGCAGGAGGAUCGGAUUAUCGGUCGACUGAUUAACCGUUUUGAGAUAUGAGGUUUUAUGUUAUUCAUUGCGUGAGUUAUGACAUGUACGAUGUAUAUACUAUUCUAAUGUGUUUGAUUUUUUUUUGAUUGUUUAGAUUCGAAUCUCACCUCUCGGUAGCCCGAUUGAACAUGAUCCUAUGCCUAUCCCAUCUCCGAUAGAGGCAGCCUAGCAAUUUCAGCCCACACCUUCUCUUGAGGCUCCAUGUCAAGCCCAGCUCUACAAUAUGUUUAUUAUGCCAUUCCUACAUAAGAAUGCAUGUUUGCUUACUUGGGUACCUCAGAAAUCGUUAAAAGACGACAAUGUACCAAAUGGUACAAUUAAGUUGAAUUAAGCCUCAAACUAGUCCAAAUAGAGAUUUUAAGAUGAAAUUGAGAAUUUUAAAAUCCCAGAAUGACUUAAAAUGGUGAUUCAGAGUUCGAGGACCGAUUUGGAGUCAAAUUGAAAUUUUUAUGACUUAGGGGCAAAAUGGUCAUUUUGCCACCCAAGGUUAAAAUUGGAAUGUUGGAAGAAGUUUUUGAUCAAGACUGACUAUUUAGAACAUAAUUAGAGUUUGAGAAGUGAAAAAUUUUAAUUUCGGCAUUUUUCUGAGCGUAAGGGCAAAAUAGUCAUUUUACCACCUCAGGGGUAAAAUUGUAAUUUUACACCACCCAACACUUGUCUAGCACAUGGAUUUUACCCAAUAUUAUCAUAGAUAAUUGAGAAAAUUUAAGUGGUGGAGAGAGAUUGCUUAAUGGGUAAGUAUGACACAUGGACCAAUGGAAUGGUGACAUGUGUCAAAUUUUCAUCCAUUUAAUAUUUGGCUUAAAAAUCAGCACAAAAUCAGCCCAUUUCUCUUCAUAUGGCCUGCCAAAGCAAGAACAAAGGAAGAAAAGAAGGAACCAGAACCCUAAGGUGAAAAUUCAAGAGAAAAUUGGUGGAUUUCAAGUAAUCAAGCAAUCAAAGGUAAAAUUUCUUGAUUUGACUUGUGAUCUACCUUUCCCAUGCAUUCUUUUGCAUUUUUCAUGGUUGAAUCACAUGAUUUCAUGAUGGGUAUCUUGCUGCCUGAACACUUAGAGAGAGGUUUUGAUGCUUGAUUUGGUUAGAUUUUAAGAUAUUUUAGUGUUUUUAGUUAGUUAGUGAUGUGUAGCAUGAAAAACCAACAAGAAAAAUUCAUUUUCUCCCAUCACCCAUCAUUGGCUGAAUUCUCCAUGUGGAAUAUUGAUGAUGAUUUUGAUUUUAUUUCAAGUGAUUUGGUUAGAAAUUAGUGAUUUAUGGUGUGAGAAUCAAGUAGGAAAAAUCAUAGUAUUGAUGCACCUACCAUGGCUGAAUUUUCCAAGAGAAAAUGUGAGGAUGAUUUUGCCAUAUUUCAAGUUAUUUAAUUUGUGUUUGAUGAUUUGGAGAAUUGGAAGAAAAAUGGAAUUAAAUGGAGUUAAAUUGGACAUAUUGGCCAAUUAAUCGAGUGAUAGAUCGAAUUAGGCCAAUACCGUUUUAUUUAGGUACACAAUUGAAUUUGUGUAAAGCACCGUGUUUAGACAAUAAUCUGAACAAUUUGCAUCCCAUUUCAUACAUUAGUAUAAAGCUUGAAUUGGUUUUAUAACAAUUUAGCACAAAUGUAGUAAAUGGCUUAUUGUGCAUUAUGUCUAGGUGGUGAGUAUUCUAGCAAAAGUAAAGAGAUAGUACCCGAGGAUCAAGAAUCUGAGUACUCGAAAUUCAACUCUCGAAAUAGUGAGUAACCUUACUAUCGUCUUAAUUAUCUAAAGUGAUUUUUAUCUGAUUUUGUGAUUUGAUAGAAAAAUGAGUUUAAAUGGUAAAUCUUUAUGUUUUAUAAACAAAAUGUGUUUAAAUGAAAUGAUUUUAUAAAUUGUCUUGAAAUUGAAUGAUGGCUUUGAAAAUAGAGUAAUUGGAGACCAUUUGAUGUAUUGUGAAUUUACGGUUCUAAUUGAUUCGCUUAUGGCAAUAUUGGCAUGAAUGGCUGAAUUGAUAUUUGUGUUGAAAAUGUAUAAACUGUUGUUUGCCUUGAGAGGCUGUAAAAUAAAAUAAUUGUCGUGUCAUGCUGUUGAAUUUUAUUGAAUUGGUGGGUUAUAAUUGGUCGCUGUAGUGGACGGGUUCUGUGGACCAGCCUAUUAGAGGGGCACGGUAACCCUAUUAUGUUCAUACCUCAGUAUGAGAGGCGCGGUUGGAUAACUCUUGAGGUUAAAACUUUAGAGUUCACUUCACGCCAAACCACCGCUUGAGGGUGAACUCAGCCAACGCUAAGGAACGACUAUAUUUUCAAAAUAAAAACAUGAUUUAUGCGUACAUAACUUUUUAUCACGCUUGGCGGACUUGGUUGGGAUAGCCCUCGGCCAAGGUAUCCCUGAUAACUGAGUAUGAGAAUGAUUUUGGCAUGAGCCAAAGUUUUAAGAAAUUCAUAAGCCAUGUUGAAUACUCGAUUUAUAUGAAUUAAUUUUAUUUGGUUGAAAUGAGUUGAAAGGUGAUUAAUUACAAUAUGAUAAUCUAUUUUAAUCUGUCUCAAUUUACUCAACUUUAGAUAUUUUAGAUGGUAUUUGUUUACUCACUGAGAUUAUAUAAUCUCACCACCCUCAUUUCCACCCAUUUAAGGCUCAAGAUAGUCAGUAGAUAGCUCACUUUCUUGAGGGCUACAGUUGGACUUGCAUCCUUAAAAAAAAACUGUAGGUUUACCGCUUUUGAUACUUUUGGUCGUUCGUGGGCCCACGUGUCAUUGUAAAUUAAAUUUUAUACUUUGGUUAUCUGUAUUACAGUAUGUAUAAAUUUAUUUAGCUUUUACGCAAUAAAAAUU
rnacentral:lncRNA from 1 species